rnacentral:lncRNA from 1 species
UGAUUGAUUAAGAUUUUAAGAUUGUGAUUAGUGUGGUUAAUUAUAAUUAGUGUGGUUAAUUGUUGGUGUUGUUUCCAUUCAUCAAGUUGGAAUCGGAACCGGCCGGGCUGUCCCGUGAUGUCCCUCUCUGGCGUUUUGAUCUGUUUUUCAUGAUUCUCUUUGUGUUUGUGCUGUGAAAGGUGAAACUGUGAAUUUAUGUGAAUAUGUGCAGCUUAAUUUCACAUAAGCUUUUCCUUUUAUUUAUUUUCUUAGAAAUGUGAAUAUUUACAAAGUGAUUUCACAUUGGUUUGCUAACCUAUUUACAUCAUGACUCAAUUAAUCUUAAUCUUAAUUUAGGAUUUGUUUGAGAGACCCCUUUUAAUUUUUCGUUUCAAUAUAAUACUCUUAACUAUGUUCAGAAUAAGAGAAAUCUCAAUGAGAUUCUCAAAAGUUACGUUAAAUUAUAAGAUGACAGAAAAUUUAUCGAUUGUAGAACCAGCGUUUUUUAGAUCAUAAAAAAAGUUAGAAUUUAUGAGGAAGCAUUUGAUGUUACUUACUAAUUUACUUUUACAAAGCAGUCUCAAACUAACAUUUAGUUUUAAACACUUCAAAAUAUAGGUCGUUUUUGUAUUUGGAUGAGUCGAACUUGUCAAACAAAAAGUAAAAGUAAACAUAUCACCGCGAGAUCGACUGGUCAUGUGCUUAUCUUAUUUGGAUCUUUUAAGAAAGAGCGAUAAUUGGCCAAGUAAAGUGAUAACUUGAAAUCUUGGUCAUUAUUUUCCCCUUAUCUUAUCUCAAAUUUUGGGUCAAUUAAAGCUGCUUUACACGCGAGCAGGCAUUACUUUUCCCUCCCCUUGGUGGCAAAUUCGGGUACGUGAGAUGGAUGAUGAGUCAUGAAAAUCCCAUUUUAUUUUUCCCUCAUCUGAUAGGGUUUCGGUGGGGCUUGGUUAUUGUAUGAUUGGUUUUUCCAUCAUUAUCUUUUCGUCAUCAACCAUGUGCUCAAUUAUUGUCUUUGUCCUCCGAUUUUUUUACUUAACACUUGCAAAUUCUUACCGUUCGUCCUUUAUAGUGAGAGAUUUUUUAGUAUAUUCAAAAUACGAGUAUAUACGUUAUAUGUUAUUAUAUAAGUGGAAUGAUAUUUGUAAAAAAAAAGCUUUUUCUCAACUUGUAUAAUAACAUAUAAUAUACAUCUUGUGUUAUGGAUGCAUUAAAAAAUAUCUCCUCUACAAGACAUCAAUCCAUUUACAAGUUUUGUGUCAAAUUGAAAUUUAUAUUUAGGUUUCGUUGUAGUAUUUGAAAUUUUGACACAAUUAGUGAGCACUCUGAAUUGUUAAAACUCGUAUUUGAGUUAUGGUUCUAGUGUUUCUUAUCAAGACUCUUGGUAUUCGUAUUUGAGAAUAAUAUAAGAAAACUCAAACCUACCAUCACCGUUGGACUAAAAUAUAAAAAGACAUGUUUUUUGCGCCUCGCAUUUUAUGCAUUGCACUCCCCUGUUUUUUUUUUUUUUGGACAUUUAGAUUGAACAUGUUGGAGUAAAUAUGUUUUUAUUUAAAAAAUAUUUAUUUUUUGGUUUAUUACAAACAUUAAAUAUAAAACGUAAACUGUUAUUAAAGAUGGGAUUCCAGGAUCGAGUCUAUAUACAUAACUUUGUCCGUUGUGAUUUGUACGGUUUGGUCUCGUCCGUUUUUGAAUCUUCCUUUUAAUUUCCUACGGUUUUGCAUCUUCAUAAUAAUUCCCUUGAUUUCUGAUCAUUUAGCACCCCAACGUCUAUUUUUUUUAUGUAUAUAUAUAUAUAUAUAUAUAUAAAUUGUUAUGUAAGUCAGGAAAUUUGCAGAAAGUGGAUGAGGAAAAAGUUUUACUUAUAUUGAUUUAAAAAGCAACAUAUCGGAAAGCUGUAAGUUCAAAGAUUCUUCCGGUGUGCAAAGAAGAAUUUUAUCAGAAGAAGGUUAUAUGCUGUUUUAUUUUGGGGACGACGUGAUGUUUGUGAAUUGCUUGCACACUUUGAGCAGAGCCGUAAAACGUCUUAAAGAGAACGACUUAGUCCGCGACUCAUCCCAAGAAUCAUUUACUACUCAAGGCUUAUACAUUUUUCGGGUAACUUCGUUCCUUUAUAUUUCAGUUUACAACAGAACAAAUUCAAAGUAAAUUUAGGAACAAAAAUUAUAAAUAAAAAUGUGUAGAAUGAGAAAAAUGAAGUGUGCGGAACUCAUUUCUCGCUCAUUCAUUAGUAAUUUAGUAAUGCCUCAUUGUUAAUCUUAAUUUGUUGCUGUUUGAUGGUUGAUAUGAUACAACGUUAUCCUUUACACUUGCCUUGUUUCAUUUUGUGGUCCAUUCAAUUAUGGAUGCAAAGGCUGCUCAUAGUAGGAACUAAAAUUGAUUGCUUGUCGUUCACAACUUGGCAUUUGAUAUAACAACUGUCCCAUAUGCUAUGCUAUCUCCAAGCAUGAAACAAUGAGAGGUUCUUAAGCUUUUGUGUGGCGUUGAUUUGUCCUUACUGUGCAAAACACUGGGAAAAAUAAAACCUGUUAAGUAAUUGGUUGAGAACUUGAGAGUCUCGAAACUUACAUACAAUUGGAAUGUUAUUGGUGAUAACGCUAGGACCUCGCAUUAUCGGGCAGCUAGUGGGACUAUCUAGCUUAAUUAGUAAGACAAAGAGUACAGAGUAGCCAAUUUGGAUUCGCAAGAUUCAAAGAGGCAGCAGCCACACGGGGUCUAACAUCCCAUUCUCUAGAUUUGCCCCGUCCAUCUUCCACUCAGCAUUAUUUGCAUUAUUUGUUCUUCUUGUUGUGCAAUAAUUAGAAUAUGUUUUAAAAACAAACGAUAUUAUCUACAUUAAAAUGGUAGAGAAGUGUGCAAGCCUCAUAAAAUAUAACAUUAUCGGAUUCAUCUACUAAGAUUAUAGUUUAAUGGUAUUUAUCUUUAUUUAUAAAUGAAAAGUCUUAAAUUUGAUUCUUAUAAAUGACAAUUUCGCUACCUUAUUAUGUAGUUGAUCCUUUGUGUGGCCAGGUCUUCACCACCAAUAUCGCCGUAUCCAAAAAUAUUCUCGAGUUUAAGGCUUCUUCUGUCACAUAUAGUAUGUGACUUCUCCGGUGACUUCUGCCAUCAUUCUUUUGUUCAUUCUAACCAUCACCCAUCACUGAUUGGAGAUAUUUUUCAGUGUGUGGGGAACUCAAUCGGUACACAAAGAGUAUGAUAACACAAGUGGUUGAAUUUUUUUUUCUUCAAACACCUAAUUACUUGUAUUAUGACACUUAAUAUACCGGACGUAUUUUCGACACUAAAAAAUUUCUUCAGUGAUUUGAGUGGCAAUCGGUAGCUUGUUAACUCAAGUUUAAUUAUAAUAAUAAUUAAUGAUUGACUCUAAUGCGAAUUAUAUAAGGAAAACUAAUGAAAAAUGUUUGGAAAUUUUGAGUUUUAACGAUAAAAACAAAAUAAAGGGUAAUGUGAAUAGUACCAAGAUUGACUUUUUAGUUUAAAAAUAUGAUUUUUUGUUAAAAUAAAAAGUACCGGAAACUUUUCGUUAAAGUUCUCAAUUAUAUAAGCGUACCAGAUUCAGCUCGUAAUCAUGUUUCUUUGAUAUUAAAUUCCAAAAUGAAUGAGAAUAUCCUUCUCCUUUACCUAAAAAGACACAAUUAAACAGGUGGGGGCCCCUGUUUGAUUACGACUAAUUACGAAAGCAACGUUGUUUGAUUAGUGUUCAUAAUACACAAGGCGCUUGUUCAUGAUUAAUUAUAAUAACUCAUUAAUUUUUUUUUUGUAAGACAUUAUAAUAACUCAUUAAUUAGUCUACGUAUUAGAGACUAAAGUCAUCUCCAACCGAAGGGUCCAGAGGACCGAAAAUGGUCCUAAAAUCAUUCCAACCAAGGGUCAGGCCAAAUAGCUUGUGGGCCCCACUGGACAAAAAAUGGCCAAAAGGCCGACCAGUUGGCCCCGAGCCGGGCUGGAAUUCAAAAAGCAACAAUCCGUUAUUUUUUUUUUACAAAAUUUGUUUAAUAAUAGGCCCAAAAAAUAUGUUUGGGUGUUCUUUUUAUAGGUUUUAGAGCUUACUCAAAUCCCUCCCACAACCGAUGUGGGACUCUCCCACCCACUUCCCUUUUUUUUUUAUACUCUAAAUAAAACCUCUCACAUUUGACUUGAAAUAUAUAAGUUGUAUUUUUUAAUUUGUUGUAGUUUUUAAAUUUAAGUUGUAUUUUUACAAUUUUAGUUGUAAUUUUUAAAUUUAAGUUGUAUUUUUAAAAUUUUAGUUGUAAUUUUUAAAUUUAAGUUGUUUUAGUUUUUUAAUUUAAAUAAUAAAUUAUGUUUGACCUUAUAACCCUUGGUUGGAGAUGAUUUUUAAUGACAGGGCUAAAACGAGCCCUAUGGCCCUUUGACCCUCGGUUGUAGAUGGUAAGAAAUAUGGCAUUGCACUGUUCAUUAAAAUAUUAAUUUCUUGGAGGGCUAGAGAGCUAAAAAUGAGCCUUCUGGCCAACCUUCGGUUGGAGAUGACCUAUUUAGGUUAUUGGCCUUGUUGUGCUGUUGAAAUCGUAUGAGUGGAAUAAUUUAUCUUUCUGCCACUUAGUAAUAUGGUCUAAUGGUAUUCCUCUUCACUUAUAAGUGAGAGGUCUUAUGUUCGAUUAUCGCCAAAAGUGAAUUUGAACCAAAUUAUUGCUAGCGCUUGUGAGGCUAAGCAAAGCCCUUAUCCUUUAGUAUAGAUAAUAUCGCUUGUCAAAAAAUAAAAAAAUUAUUUUCUCUACUUCUGUUUGUACAUGUAUACACCAUAUUCUAUCCUUAUCCCUGCCCAUAGCUAGGGUUUUGCCCUUUUUGUUGGGAACUAGGAUUCUCUUCCCCCUUCUUUCCAUCCCAUUCCAUCCCCUCCUUUCACAUUCUUUAUUUUGUCUUUCUCUUUCUAUAAAAAAGUAAUAUAAGAUGUUGACGUGGCUUAACCGUGACCAUUCAUAUAGGAGGGGAGGGAAGAGGAGGGAAAAAAAAAAGGGAGAUAAUCCUACUCCUUUGGUUGGUUUGCUUAGACAAAGUUGUCAUUGUCCUAAGAAGUAGUUGAGCUAUAGCUUAGUUUGAUAUCUAUUAUUUUGAAGCAACUGAGAUCCUCUCCAUAUCUCAUGCUUCAUAGUCCACUAACUCAGUAAUUCAGACCAUUCAAUUUAAAUCAUGCAGUCCUUAUUAGGUCAUUCUCCUAACCCACUUCACAUAGGCUCUCUCUCCAAUGCCCAUAUAUCUCUCUCUCAUCAACAGUUCAGAUUAUUUGGUCGGUCAAUUUCGAAAUAUGAGAUCCGAAGAGGAUCUCGAUCCAUUUUGGAGGACCUUGGUGUCUCGCAGUGGAAAAAGUAACAUUUCUUAUGUUGGUUUAAGAGCUUUUGGACACCCUUUAAUUUCUUACAAACUGUUUUAGGUGUAAAUUCUACCGAUGUGUUUUUAAAAAUUGCUAGCAAACAUUAGUUUCACCACAUAACUGUGACUAGGCUCCAAGGAAACGUGGUGGAAUAGUAAGAUCCAAUUGUUCCACAUUGGAAACUUAAUCUAUCUUGAACUAGAUUAAUAUAAUAUGUUAGGUGAUUUAGUUAGAGGACCCAAUUGUCUCUAACUAGCUAUGGACCAAUGUAGUUCGUCUAUUGUUAGAGGACCCGACCAAUUCUUUAUCUCCCAUCAGAAGAAUAACAUUUAUUAGAUAGGUUAAGGGCUAUGGACGCUUCUCUUACAGACUGUUGAAGGGGCAAGUUUUACUCGUGCAGUCGUGCUAUUGGCAAAACUGAAACAGUUACGUUUUAGAAUUCAUACAGCCGACCAUAUUUAGUGGAAUAAGACUGAUUGUUGUUGGUGUAGUUUGUAUUAAGAACUGGUAUCAAACCCUAGUUUCAUCAUGCAAUUAAGCCUAGACUCCUCAGAAGCGUGGUGGAAUGUCACGGCCCAAUUGUUCCGCACUGGAAAGCUUAGCACAUGAUAUUGAGCUAUGUUGACCGUUAAUUAGGUACAUCAUCCAUCGAUGGGUCAAUGUUAAUGUUGGUAUGAAAUGACAACAUAUAUCACUUCAUAUACCCUAGUUGUUAUUAUAUCAAUAUCAUGACCAUGGAUCAAGGUUAAUCAAAAGAAUAAGACCCAGGCAGUGUGUCUAUGCUUCCAUCCUUCGCCUUGGGGACCCAAGAUUAUAUUAUUAGGAAAGUUGCCUUUGCCAUAUCAGCAUCACAAUCCUAAUACGUAGGCUAAUUAGUUUUUAUUCACAGCAAAACAACCCUUGUUUUUUUUGGGGAAAAUUGUCUUUCUGUCUAGUAGGCUUACCAAAUGGCUUGUCUUUAUCAUGUUCGUGUCGUUUUCAUAUCUACUCGUUAAUUUAACGGAUCAUGUUGUGUCAAACCUGUAAUCUUAACGGGUUCUUAACAGGUAAACCGAUAACGACCUGAUUCGUUAAUGAGUCUUGAUGGGUUAUAACGGAUUAUGCAAAAAAUUAUCAUGGGGUUCUUAAUGGUGACCUGAUAACGACCCGACUCAUCAACGGGUUAAACAUUAAUUUGUUAUUUUCAUGUUCUUUCAUGUAGAAUUAACAGGUCGUGCAAAAAAUUGUCAGUCAUAUUUUGUUCAUACAAGGCACAUGGUUUUCAGGAUUCAUGAGGGAAGUUGCUAUAUAAUCUAAAAAUAAAAUCUCAAAAAAUUCAUUUGCUUUAAAAAUAUAUAAAAUACGAGCUGCACAUAAAUUGUUGGAAGAAUAACUCAUAAACUACCAGGAACUAUGUAGUAGUAUAAAUCAUGUUUGACAGAAAAACUAAUCAUUCUUCGAAACAAUAGUAGAGGUAAUUAAACUAAUCAAUUUGCAAUUAUAUUGAGACACAUUAAGAUUAUUUAUUUGUAAUUGUCAAAUACAUGAACAAAUGGACUCAAAAAUAUCAAAGAAAUAAAAGGAAACUGAUCGUCACACAUCGAUUUUUAAAGAGAAAUAAACAGUGGCGGCAAUGUGAAGGUGAACAAUGGCAUAGUGGUAAAUCAAUUUUAUUAGCGGGUCAAUUAUUAUCUUACAUGGCACUUUAUUUGAAUUUCUUUUGGACGUUUACUUAUUGGUGGAUUUUUAUUAGGAAAUAAUAAAUGUACGAGUCUAUCCCUAAGGAAUCCUAACAUGAAUCAUAUGUUAUUGGACUUUAUCAAGCCCUUAACAAGUGUACCGGAUUCUAACGCCACCACAAAAGCAAGAGGCUUUAUUUGUUUGUUGCUGAAAGAAAUUCAAAAAAACCCAUAAGGAUGUAUUCAAUUGAGAAUUUGAGAGAUUUAUAAAUUUUUAUAGAGUUUAAUUGAUUUGUAGAUAUUUCAUAUAAAAUUUUGAUUCAAUUCCCUCAAAAUUUUAUAGGAGAUUUGAGAAUGCUUAAAAUACACUAUGAAAUUUCUCCAAUUCUUUAAAAUCAAUUUCUAAUUGAAUACACCUGAAAUGUUAUAAACUUCUUUAAAAUCCUAAUUGAAUACACCGAUGGGGUUGGGAGCGCCGAGGCAAUCAAUAGAGCUGGGAGCGCCGAGGCAAUCAAUAGAGCUGGGAGCAUCGAGGAAACUGAUGGGGCUGGGAGAGAGCUGGAUGGUUCUUCGGAGCCGUCUAGCAGGGAAGAAUUUGCCCGGCUUCUUGAGAGAGCUAAAUCGUUCUUUGGAGCUGUCUAGCAGUGAAGAAUUUGCCCAGUUUCUUGAGAGAUAACUGGAUGGUUCUUCGGAGCCAUCUAGCAGUGAAGAAUUUGCCCGUCUUCUUGAGAGAGAGAGCUGGAUGGUUCUUUGGUGCCGUCUAGCAGUGAAGAAUUUGCCCGGCUUAUUGAGAUUGAUACUGAAAGGUACUUAUUCUGGCUUCUUUAUAAAGUAUGAAUUUCGGUUGUUAGAGGACUCAUUGUCAUAUGAUUUACCCUGCAGUGCAAAGAAAUUGCUGAGCCAUAAUAAGUUUUACUUGUUCGUCGAUCUUGAUUACACACUGCUUAAUUCCACUGAUCUGAAUCAAAUGAUAGUUGGAGAGGAAUACUUACGUAGCCAAACAUAUAGUACUAGUUUGAUUAGAUUUUGUUUAUUGUAAUUCUUUGAAUGUGUUGUCAUGAAUACAUGUCUAUGCAUGCUCUAAUGUUUUUGUCCAAUUACUUACAUCAUCUAACUUUGCUUAUGAUACUUAUAUCAUCUAUCAUCUAACUUCGCUUAUAAGUAUCAUAAGCAAAGUUAGAUGAUGUAAGUAAUUGGGCAAAAACAUUAGAGCUUGCAUAGGCAUGUAAUCAUGAUAAGACAAUCAAAGAAUUACAAUGAACAAAAUCUAAUCAAACUAGUUUUAUGUCAGAAACAUUGCUACCGAAACUAAUGCAACUAACUUUGUAACUGAUCCAAAGAACAGACUAUCUGUUUGGCUACGUAAUUAUUCCUCUCCAACUGUCAUUUGAUUUAGAUAAGUGGAAUUAAGUAGUGUGUAAUAUAGAUCGACAACCAAGUAAAGCUUAUAAUGGCUCAACAAUUUCUUUGUAUUGCAGGGUAAAUCAUAUGACAAUGAGUCAUCUAACAACCGAAAUUCAUACUUUAUAAAGAAGUACCUUUCAGCAUCAAUCUCAAUAAGCCGGGUUAAUUCUUCACUGCUAGACGACACCAAAGAACCAUCUAGCUCUCUCAAGAAGACGGGCAAAUUCUUCAUUGCUAGAUGGCUCCGAAGAACCAUCCAGUUCUCUCUCAAGAAGACAGGCAAAUUCUUCACUGCUAGACAGCUUCGAAGAACAAUUUAGCUCUCUCAAGAAGCCAGGCAAAAUCUUCACUGCUAGACGGCUCCGAAGAACCAUCCAGCUCUCUCCCAGCCCCAUCAGUUGUCUUGAUGCUCCCAGCCCCAUCGGUUGCCUCAGUGCUCCCAACCCCAGCCUUGGGCCUCUUUGUACUGCAUGGUAACACAACAUAAAUAAAUAAACAAAUUAACCUAUGGUAUAUUAAGAGAAGAAUUAAGCACCUCAUAACUUCAUCCAGCGAGGAAUCCAAAGAGCCAGAAUCUAGGGCGGCAAGACACAAUAAAAAAAGGGUAAUUAAUUCAAAACGAAAAUUUAAAGAACAACACAGGUAAAAAAAAAGUAAUUAAAUCAAGCAAACGAAACCCAAUAAAAAAUCUCUCAAAGCACAAAAUAAAAGAGAAAUUGGCAAUAAAAUUGGAGCCAUGAACAUAUUGAUAUUCAGAUUGGUAGAGGAAAAAAAAAACAUGGAAUAUGUCACUUCCAAUACUAAGAUUCUAGGAAGCACAAAACCCAUCAAGUACCAGAGAAAACGAGGAUCAAACACUCGUUACAAAGUGAUGGAUACAUCUAAUCAAGAACAGUGUGCGUGGGCAUGGAUAGAAAUAUUGCAGAAAAGCAAGACCAGACCUACUCAAAUACCAUGUUAAGAUAGAGAUGAGUAAAAACAGGAAACGAACUAAGACAAAGAUACCUGAAAGGGCUAAAUGCAUGUUAACACGUCUGGGAACAUUACAGAAACCCGAACUUAUUUUAAAAGUCACACACAGGUCCAUAUUGUAAUAUGAGAACAAUAAUUCUCAAAAACACAAAAACAAUGCUUUAACUAGUGCAUACAUUACUCUAUAAAAACUUGACAAACAAGGGAAAAGAAGCUCAAACCUGGGAAAUUCAAUCAGAGGGAUUUUCCAAGACAUACUCGAGCCAUUUAUACCAGACUAAUUAAAGACAAUUAAGUCAUUUAGUUAGAUGCGGGUCAGGCCAGUUGGCUACCCUAAGUAUGAAUCGCUGUUAUAGUAGAUUAAAGUAGUUUAGAAUAUCCCCUUGCCAAAAGUUAUGUAACAAGGCCAAAAUGUCGGAAAAGUUGGACUAAAGAAAAUGUUAUAUUUGAGCCUAAAAAUGAGAAGCAAGGACUCACCAAUGCACCGGAGAGUUAGGCCAUCUUCAACGCACUAGAUGUAAAUCAAAACAUCUCCAAUCCACCUGAUACUUAACACUUGUAUAUAAGUUUUCAGCUAAAGUGAGACCCGAUGUUAUUCGACCAAGAAAUAAAGAUGAGGUUUGACUCCAACCAUCUCUAAUACACAUACCCAAAUUGUUAAAACCCACAUUGAGAGUUUUGACUUUAAUGUUUUCCCUACUAAUGCACAUACCUUAAUUGUUAAAACUGAAAUUUGAGUUUGACACAAUGUUUUCUACUCCAAUGCAUAGACCCAAAUCAUAACAAUGUGCAUUGAAAGGAAAACCAAAAAACUCAAACCAAAAAGUAUGGCUAGUUUGGUAUGGGAUACCGAACCGAAACAAGUAUCCCGAAUCCCAAACUGAAAUUUUUCGAGACAGAAAUUUUGAAGACCAAUCCCAAACCAAAUUUUCAAGAAUCCCGAAAUAUUUUCAGGAUUUUGAGAUAAAUCGGGAAUUCCAAAUUGAAAUAUGAAAACAUGAACGAAGAUGCCCAAAUUAAAGCUUGCAAACAGCGAACAUGCCUUGCUCGCACCCGAGCCUGAACUCUAACUAAAGCUUGCAUACAGCGAAGAGUUAUUGCAGAAAGGUCAAUGAAUCAAAGUAUCAAACUACAUGGAGAAACACAAAUUGCAGCUGCUGUCAUUAAAGUACAAACUAUUGAAGAAAAGUGCUAGAUUCAAUGAAGAUUGCAGAACACAAACCCUUACGCAAAAAGCUUUCUGAAAUUUCAAACGAAAUUGAAAACCCCCAAAUCCAAAACCCUAGAAUUCAAAUGCCCAAAUAAAAAAUGAAUUGAAGCCAUAAACAGACUGUACCACAUCAAGAUUACCAGAUGAAGACAAGAAUAUUACCUUAAUGAAGAGAGAAGUAGAAGGAAGCAGUAGGGCUGGGUUCGGUUUGAAACGGUUCGGUUUUUUGCUAAAACCGAAACCAAACCGAAAUUUCGGUUCGGUUCGAUUCGGUCCGAUUUUUUUUCGGUUUUUUUCUUUUCGGUUUUUUUCGGUUUUGAUUUUUUUCGGUUCGGUUUCGGUUUUUUUUUCGAUUUUUUCAUGAUUUUUUUUUUUAAUAUCUGGAGCUUGAAGCACAUUUUUUUUCUGCAUUCGGCUGCAAAUUUACCCUUUCUCUCCAUUAACCCUCGUCGAAACAGUAACGAUUUGAGGCAUGCAACAACUGUUUCUUGUUCCUGUGAUCUGAGGAGGAAAAGGAUUUCAUCCACCCAACUUCAGUGCCCACUGCAAAACGAAAAGAUUAAAACUUUAGUCACAAAAAAUCCACCGAAAAAUAUAAAGAUUACAAAAAUAAUUGGAAACAUUACCCAGAAAAAAAAUUGAACUUCAAACGGAAUUUAAAAAUCAACAUUGACAUAAAAAAAAUUAUCAAAAACAAACAAAAAAGGUCAAUUGAGAAAGGAGUAUGCAAAAAUGAAGAAAAGAAUUGCGAAAAAAGGGGAUAAGCAAAUAUAGAUAUCAAGGUAGAAAAAAAGAAAGGGAAAGAAAUGGGUGAGACUCUCACAACACAAAAAUCAAACAAAUCUACAAUACAAAACAAAACAAUAACCCAUAAAUUUACACCAAAAUUUCAGAUUCCCUCCAUGGAAUUUACUCUAAAAAAACCCAUAAAUCGACAAAAUAAAUAAGAGAGAUUGGAGAUCUUACCCUGGAGUGAGAAGAUCGAGAAACGGAGAGAGAAGAAUGGAGAAAUUUGGACAAGAAGGGAGUCUGGAGGCGCAGGGCAGAGAGAGAGAGAAGAGGGGAAUGAAAAAAGAAAAGGUUGGCUGCUACUACUAGUGGCUAGGGUUUUGUUGAUUUCUAAUUGCACAAAAGGCUAUAGAUUUAUAUCUUUAUAAAUAGUUUAGUUAUACAACUAUAACAAAACAAUACCAAUUGCCAUGUUGGUUUCGUUGAAACCUCUCAACAGGAGUGCACGGGUUCAAACCCACAUGCCUCCAGAACUUUAGAGAUUUUUUUAUUUUUUAUAAUUAAAAUAUUAUAAAAAAAAUAAUUAAAUAUAUAUUCGGUUCGGUUUUUUUCGGUUUUCGGUUUUUUGAACCCACCCCUAGGAAGCAGAGGUGGCUGUAUUGAUUAUCGAAUGCAGAGGAAGUUGUCAAAUGCAAAAAUACAUUAAAUUGUUCUUUUUCGUAUCUUUACUAAUUAAUAAAAUACUCAUUGUUAAUCAAAAUUCUAUAAAAUUAUCAGUUUAACUCUUUAAUUAAAACAUAACAUGAAUAAAAAAUAUGGGAUAUAAAUAUAAUUUUACACAACCAAAUCUACCAAUCUGAACCCUUAAACUUUGGUUAAACGACUACAAACAGAAACUCCUUUAAAGUUAUAAUAGAAGCAAAAUUUUCUUUAUUCUACCACAAUGUUGUUCAAAUCACUGAAACCAAAAGCAAACUAAAAAAUUUCAGUCCUUUUAGUUCGGUUUGGUUUAUUACAAUUCAGUUUGGUUUUUUCUUAUUCUUUUAUUUUUCUUUUUAGUUUUCAAUUUUUUGAGCCCAUUUUCCAUUAGAAAAGGGGAACUUUAACGAAAAGCACCCGGUACUGUUCAUUUUAACGAAAAACCACAUUUUUAUACUAAAAAGUCAAUCAUGGUACUAUUCACUUUACCCUUUAUUUUGUUCUUAUCAUUAAACCUCAAAGUUUUUAAACCCUUUUCAUUAGUUUUCCUUUAGAAAAGACCCGCCAUUUGUUCCAAAUAUUAUCUUUACUAAUUAACAAAACUCAUUCUCAACCAAAAUUCUAUAAAAUUACCAGUUUAAUCCUCUAAUUAAAACAGAACAUGAAUAAAAAAUAUGAGACAAAAAUGUAAUUUCACACAACCAAAUUUUGCUGUAUUUUUUUUUCAAAACCUCACCUACAUGUAAUCAUACAUAUCUCUAAUUUUAAAAAAAAAAUCCCACUCCUACAUUCUCUAUUACUCUCUUCUAUUUCAAAAACAAAAAUAAAAAGUUUUCUCACACACUGUGUGCCCAUAUGCUAGUUGUUAGAAUAUAAUAAUAAUUUGAAAGGAGUACGUUGCAUUGAGAAACAUUUGAAAGGAGUACGUUGCAUUGAGAAACAUACUUAUGGGCAUGUUAGUCGGAUAAAAUUCAACCAAUAUGGCAUGCUUGCUUGACUGGAUUAGAACUGUGAUUGCGCUAUUUAACACCAAUCCCAGUCUAGAACAAAUAUGUGGGUUUAAAGAACAACCAGAGUUGAUUUCAGAGAUGUGGUCCACUGGUCAGCCAGGAAAGAAGAGGAAGAAGGCUUAGAGAUCGGGUUGUUUCAGUUUCAAUAUUUGAUUAAGUAUGUAGGUUAUUUCAAUUUCGAGUAUAAAACUGUUGUUCUGUAAUCAGUUUGAGAGUUUUAUACUAGAAACUGAAACAACCUACAUACGUCAAUCAAAUACUGAAACUGAAACAAUCCGAUCUCUAAGCCUUCUCCCUCUUCUUCCCUGGCUCAGUGCCUAAAAAUAUUCUUUUGCUCCCCGAUAAAACCCCUGAUGGACGAAUAAUAUAUUUAAGAAACUUUUUUUUGUAAAAAAUUAAAAAACUGUUUAAUUGAGAACUUAUGUAGUCAUGGAACGAACCAAAUGAGAGAAGCACACUUUCUUCUUCUCCCCAAAACCAAAAUGGAGCUGCGGCACCUGGGCUGGUUUGGUAUUGCUGUGCUUUGAAAACAAGCUGCUGUGAGAAUAAGCGGCUGUGCUGUGAGAAUAAGCAGCUGUGAAAUAAAUCAGCAGAGUGUUUGGUAAACUUUUUUGUAAAAGUGCUUUUGGAAAAAAAAGCAGUCUAAUAGUGAGUCUUUUCAUUAAAGAAGCACUGUAGCUCCGUGUGCUUUGAAAAAAAGCCAGUUUUCCAAAGCUGCAAAUAGUAGCUUCAGCUUUUUCCUUUGAUUUCAGCUUAUUCUCACAGUAGCUUCCAAAAUAAGCCUCUUUUUUUCAGUUUACCAAACACCUAAAACCCCCACAGCUUUUUUUCAUGGAUGUUUUUUUUUUAAGCACCUCACUCCCAAACUAAAUCUUAAUCUCUCUCUGUUUUUGCUGCUCGAUGAAACCAAAAAGGCAUCAAGCCUUAUAUAAGGCUGCUGCCUAUUUUCUCCAACAACCCUAGCCACUCACGUGGCUUUCACAUGGGUUAAAUAAAAGACCCACUUAAUGGGCUAGUGAGAUUAGCUUCAGGCCCAAUGUAGUUCAACCACAAAUUCAACACACCCUUUGUUCAUCAGGAGUUACGAAUGUUGGAUAACAAACAUAAGACAAAAAUUCAUCUCUUUGUUUUACCAAAUCAGCUUGGGAGCUUUAGACGCAUUGUGAAGAACUAAAUCAAAAUUUGAAAGAAGGACACUCCGAACAUUCGAAAAUAUUCCUGCAAAGACGGACGUUCAAAAUUGAUUAACCCACUAAAAACAGCUCGGCAACUACGUGCCGAGUGCUUUUGAAACAUUCAGAAAUAGUACUCGAACAUUCCGGAAACUUUUGCCAAUAAAAACCGAACCUAACCUGAUCCUAUCCGGUUAUGAUUCAUACUUGUUAACUUCAAUCAUGUAGAAUGAGCAUAAGGCGAUACCAUCUAAACGCUCAAUUUUUCAAAGUGUUCCCCGUCCAACAGUGGUUUCAAUUUGAGCAUAUCAUGGAGUUUUCGAUGGUGGUUUCCACUCGAAAUCUUUGCAGCAAAUACUCUUUCAUCAUAAGGUUUGAUUGUGCCAAGCCAAACCGGACGUUUAGGUCACAUGGAUCGGAGAUGCUAAUGUCGAGCAUUCCAACACCCGCACAUUUUCCCUUGAACUUCGAAGUGACAUUGAUUGGUUCAUGCGGUGAGGUUUGAUUGUGCCAAGCAAAUUCGCUUUGUAAGCUGCCUUGCUGCGCACGCUCUCGCACAGAGUUGCAGUCAAGUUCGACCCCAUGUGCUUGCUUAGUUUUGAAAUUUAGAACAGGAUUUUUGCCAGGGCUAGGGCCAUAGCAGUUGGGCUAUUUUCUGUGCCUCAAGACCGCUGAUCGAGGACUUUAAAUCGUAUUGUUUUCUAGUGUGUACAAGUAAAAAGAAACGAAAGGCAUAACUUAAAAGAGAGAGAAUAUAUUUUGUACUUGUGAGGAGGACGCCAUCAACCUAAAGCAGUAAAAAAGAGAGGCCCUUAUGAGGAAGGAUCUGCAUGACAAAGAUGACUUGAACCCCAAAUUAGGAAAAUUCUUUAUAUGGUCUAAAACAGGGUCCAAAUAUCGGCCUGCAACGAUAGACAGACAGGUUUUCUGUCCAUCGUUGCUUCCGACUCUCCCCUCUACAAUCACUUGUCAGCACAAAGAAAGGGGCUUACAAUAUAAAGUUGAAAGUCUUGUCUGCUUUAAACAGAUUACGAAGGGGCUAUCUUCUCAAAGAAAAUUCAAUGGAAGAAUGAAAAGAAAACUCUGUAACUGCAUGAGGGGCGACCACCCUUGGUAAAGCUACAAUCCUACACUGAAUAUGAAAACUUUCGAUCAUGGAAUCAGUAAACACAUUGCAGAAUCGACAUUGACACUAAUAAUAAUGUCUGGUAUUAUUCUCAAUACAUAUCCCUCGCUAUAUAUGACUUCACUGACAAAUAAUAAAAUUAACUAUGAAAUUUCGGUGCGAAACACCCUCAAAAUUUUGUCAAACAGAUGCCAACCUAUAAUCCACACACACACACACAAUCAAAAACACUAAUUUAUAUUGAAUCCGAUCAAAAUUAUAAGAUACCGAUCAGGUAAUAUGGCAAUGAGCAAAGGUGUUUCAACUCCUCUAACAACCAACCAUAGACACACAAGAAGAGUUCUCGCUCCCACCCUUUUAUUUAUUACUAAUUAAGCGUAUUGUUCCGACAAUGUUGGAUAACAAACAUACAUUACAAACCAGCACGAAAGGAAAUUCAUCUCUUCAUUAUACCAAACAACAAAAUUACCGUCAAGUUGGGAGGUUUGGGCUGGGCUGGCCAUGUUGUGGUAGUUGAGGGACUGGCGUCGGCCACCAUGGGAGCACAAAUGGGAAGUGGCAAAUACAAUUGAUUCUCUGAUAUGUAGCCACCAUUGACACCUCUCCUGUACGAGUAUUGCACUUGAUAAUGUCUUUCUUCAUCAGGGCUCUGAGAUUAUUUAUAAACAUAUACAAGAUGUCCUCAUUAUUCGGGUCAAAAACCACCCCACACAAUUUAUCUAUCUCUUGCCUAAUCACAACCAUUUCCUCAUCAGCCAAAUAUACCCUCUUAUUAAGUCUCACAGACAAAUUGUCAUCUCCUCCAUGCAUCGUGACCGUCUGAUCAUCUUUCUGAAGCGAGAGUUUCAACUUUUUAAUGGUAAUAGAGGGAGUCAACUUUGGGUAUUAAUGAGAAAAAUAUGAAAAACAAAUAAAAAUAACUCAUCUCAACGAUAACCCCUCAAAACAAAAACAAAAUCAACCGUUGGAAGCUGUUUGAAAAGGAUAGCACACUUGUAAUUAUGUGUAAAAGCAGGGUUGUAGAAAUAGUGAUUGGCAUUCAGAUUGUGUACAGCCAAAAAGGUAACUCCUCGUGUCAUGUGGCUAAUGAGAGACUUGCAGAACAAGAUCUGGAGAGUGCACCAAGGCUAGCAUCCCUCUUAAACUAAUUACAGACCAACAACCUACAAUCAGAUACUAAAACUCAAAAAACCCCAUCUCUAAGCCUUCACCCUCUUCUUCCCUGGCUAACCACAGUAACGAAUCUCUGAAAUCAAGUCCGGUCGCUCCCUUUGAAGUAAACCUUGUCUGUGCCUAAAAGUUCUAGCUCUUUCAUUCUCCAUGUAAAACCCCUAAUGGACAAAUAAGACAUUUAAGAAACUUUUUCAUAAAAAAAAAAAAAAAAAAAAAAAAAGCUGCUUAAUUGACAACUUACAAAAUCAUGGAACGACUUUAGCCAAGCCGUUUUUGUCUGUCCAUACAACUCUACCACAAGGCUGUGGAAUUUGGUAAAGUUGUGAACAAUGAAGGAAGCGUUAUCUCCUCCCCAGGAGAUAACACUUCUGAUAUCUUCAUCCACCGAUGAUUUUGUUAACAGGCUGAAUCGAUUCAUCCACCGAUGAUAUCUUUAUCCAAGCCAUUUUUCCUUUCAUUUAAUGUAAAAUAUUGUUGUAGGUUACCAAAACUAUGAAGGCAGAUGUGUUGAAGGGGCAACAUAAGAUUGUUUUCAAAGGGUUGUUUGCUUCAGAAGUUCACCAGGUUUGGAAGAUGACGGAAAACUUGGGUGCGUACUAUGGUGUACGGAUGGGAGCAAGAGAGCCUGUGAAGAAUCUAUUCAGCCUAUUAACAAAAUCAUCGGUGGAUGAAGAUAUCAGAAGUGUUAUCUCCUGGGGAGGAGAUAACGCUUCAUUCAUUGUUCACAAUUUUACCAAAUUCCACAGCCUUGUGGUAGAGUUGUAUGGACAGACAAAAACGGCUUGGCUAAAGUCGUUCCAUGAUUUUGUAAGUUGUCAAUUAAGCAGCUUUUUUUUUUUUUUUUUUUUUUUUUUUUUUUAGGAAAAAGUUUCUUAAAUGUCUUAUUUGUCCAUCAGGGGUUUUACAGGGAGAAUGAAAGAGCUAGAACUUUUAGGCACAGACAAGGUCUACUUCAAAGGGAGCGACCGGACUUGAUUUCAGAGAUUCGUUACUGUGGUCAACCAGGGAAGAAGAGGGUGAAGGCUUAGAGAUAGGGUUUUUUGAGUUUCAAUAUCUGAUUGUAGGUUGUUGGUCUGUAAUUAGUUUAAGAGGGAUGCUAGCCUUGGUGCACUCUCCAGAUCUGUUGUUCUAUAAGUCUCUCAUUAGCCACAUGACACGAGAAGAUACCUUUUUGGCUGUACACAAUCUGAAUGCCAAUCACUAUUUCUACAACACUGGUUUUACACAUAAUUACAAGUGUGCUAUCCUUUUCAAACAGUUUCCAACGGUUGAUUUUGAUUUUGAUUUUGAUUUUGUUUUUGUUUUGAGGGGUUAUCGUUGAGAUGAGUUAUUUUUUUUUGUUUUUCAUAUUUUGACUAUUUUUCUCAUUAAUACCCAAAGUUGACUCCCUAUUACCAUGAAAAAGUUGAAACUCUCGCUUCAGAAAGAUACACAAGGCAAAAUUCUUUAUCGUUGCUCCACCAGUCUUUACCUACAAAUGCUCCUGUUAGAAAGGUGUCUUUAUGAGAGACGUCCAAGGUAUAAGGGUAGAAAAAGAUCUAGAAAGACUUGGAAAGAAACUCUAAAAGACAUGGAGUACAAGACCGAGUGCAAUGGCAUUUCAGGAUUCAUACAAUCGAUCCCAUAAUUGAGAGAUGGAUUUUAAUUUUACCAGACAGAGAGUAGCACUAGAUCAGGAAAUCGCUGAUUUUGACACUGGCGUGUUCAUAAAUAGCAUCAAAAGUCAAAAGCACGAGUCCUGCAACGGGGAAAUGAAACAUUUUAGUAAUAAGGAGAGACAAGCGACUAGAGAAAUAGCGCCGGCAAAGAUAAAAGCCAAAAACAAUGGUUUUCUCCAUCUACAAACGAAUGAGAGAUGGAUAUUAUUUUACCUGACACUAGAUCAGGAAAUUGCGGAUUUUGACACUGGUGUGUUCAUAAUUAGCAUCAGAAGGCGGUGUGUUCAUAAUUAGCAUCAGAAGGCAAAGGCAAGAGUGCCUAUAUAUUACGACCUGCAACGGGGGAAUGAAACAUUUUAGUAAUAAGCAGAGAAAAUAAAAUAGACAGGAGAAAUAGCACCAGAAAAGAUAAAAGCCAAAAACCUUGGUUUUUUGUAUCUACAAACAACUGAGAGAUGGAUAUAAUCUUUACCUGACAAACAGGGUAGCACUAGAUCAGGAAAUCUCUGAUUUCGAGACUGGUGUGUUUAUAAAUAAAUAGCAUCCAAAGGCAAAAGCAAGAGGCCUUAUGGACUUUCAACUGCCCCAAAAAUGAAACAUGUUAAACAUAAGACAAGAUAAGACAGAAAAAAAGGGCACCGGAAGGAAAAGAUGAAACCAAAAAUCUAAUCUUGGUAUUCUGAUCCAUAAGAGACAGAGAAGGAAUUUACCUGACAACGCGUGCAGCAUUAGUUCAGGAAACCGCUGAUUUUGAACUUCGGUGCUCGUAAACAGGAUCAAAGGAAAAAGGCAAGACCUCUUAUUUAUCUCCGAACCUAGGCACCGGGACAUCUGGGUUUCCAAUUGCCUAUGAAAUGAAAUAUUAUGUUUGUUAAGAAUUAGCAAAGACAGAGAGAAAGAAACGGUAGGGAAAAAGGUAAAACGAAAACUAGAGCCAGUCCAAUCCAACUAGAUAAAAGGCAUACGCCAAGGAAAAUAUUGCCUCAAAGAUAGUUGCUUUUUAAUGAAUUCUUCAUAUAUGCGUAUGUCAAACAUGAAAAACAAGUGCACCAGAUUCACGUAGCAUGGUGAUAUGUAUAUAUGUGUGUGUGUAUGAGAAGCUAAAACAGAAUACCCACUGCACCACAGCGGCAGAUGUAAGCCAGCAUGCAUGCAUUCAUUCAGUAAUUAGGAUGAUGUUCGAAUGAGGAUUUGGAAUCACCAACUGACAACUGCACUGGAAAUGAAGCAUAGCAUCAUCCUAGUUAAUACUAAUGACAGAACAAAACACAAUUUUGAAUAAAUGCUCAAGCAGAUCUAUCAGUCUGUCAUGGUAACUUAAUGAAAAGUUCUUACUUGAAUUAAUCCACCCUUUUAAGAAAACUUAGAUCAGAAUCUAACACCACCACAAAAGCAAGAGGCUUUAUUUGUUUGUUGUAAAUUCAAAAAACACGCAAAAACUCUUGAAUAAAUAACAAGUCUAGUGCCUUUUAAUCAAAUCAAUUCCAUUCAAUUCAAUUCAUAAAAAACAAAUAAAUUUUAAUGUCUGAAUCUCAGGCACCAGAGAGAGGGAUUUGUUGCUAUACCUAAAACAGCGAAGCAAGAACCAAAAUUUAGAUAUCAGACACUGAGUUUAACCACCCACCGCUGAAUCUUACUCAGAAAUGAAAUGAAUCGCAAAUCCAAUUUCCCUCCCUGGCUCAGUCUGGCGGAAGCGGAAGCAGUGGCGGUGGUGGCCGCUGCGAGAAAUGAAACCCUUAGCCGGCGGCGAGAAGGAUAAGGAUCGUCGGAGAACGCCGGCGGAGCCGUGCUUGGGUUUGGUCACCGACGGGAUUGGGUGAGCGCCGAGGAUUGUGCUGGUGGUAUUUCAAUUAGUUUCCCCGUGUUGAAAUCAUUAUCACUUGGCAUUUUUUUGGCAGAAAUUUUCGGGUGUUUACUUUCCAUUUGAAACACGAAAUCUAAAAUUAAAAAAUAUUAAAAAAAGAUUAAGUACCUAAUUGAUCCCAAACAUUUCAAAUAAGUACCCAAUCUAAACUUAUUAGAGAUGUCACAUUCAUUAUGGCCACUUAAUUUGUCUUUUAAAUAUACACGUGGCAACAAUGGAUGCCACUUUUUAGCUUAACUAGGCACCAAAAUAAUAAUAAAAUAACUUCAAAAAAGAUAUAAAAAUGAAUAAAUAAAAAUUUCCCAAAUAUAACCAGAAAAUAAAAAUGAAAAACGAAAAAUAACAAGCCUCCACUACCUCCAAGCUCAACGUAUGACCACCAAAACCCCAACCUAACCUUUAUAUUCAAAACACAAAAACAUGAUACAAACAUUCAUCUGUUUAUUUUACCAAAUCAAGUUGAGAGGUUUGGCCUGGGCUCGCCACGUUGUGGUAGUUGACGGACUGGUGUCGGCCACCACGGAAGCACAAAUGGAAACAGGUGCAAACAACACCUUUGACAUCUCUCUUGUACGAGUAUUGCACCUGAUAACGUCUUUCUUGUUCCAGUCUCUGGUACUAUCUAUAACCAGAUACACCAAAUCCUCAUUAUUCGGGUCGAAAACAACCGCUCUAAUAUGAUUUAUAUUUGGACUAAUCACAACCAUUUCUUCAUCCCCCAAGUAUACGCUCUUAUAACGUCUCACACACAAACUGCCUGCUCCACCGUGGAUCAUGACCGUCUGAUCACCUUCCUUUGCUUCAUACACCUCCCAAAUAGACAGAGUGCGAGUAGGAGAGUCGUACACGCACAUCCGCGGACGCCCGUCAAGCGUAACUAGGGAAUCCAUUAAACCGGAAUCCCACUCGCCACACUCACUGAAAAAGCAUUUAUAAUGAGUUCUAGUAUUAUCACUGUUGUCGAUCAUGAACGGAUCAAACCCAAUAAGAAACUCUCCUCCACCGCCCAGCCAAUACAUCAUUUUGUUGGAAGCAACGCCAAUACUCUCUCUACACAGGUCUCCUACCGCGAUGGCGGAUGGGGAUGACAAAACGAACUCCCUCCAUUCACCGGUCUCCGAAAAGAAGAUCUGUGCUUCGAUUUCGCAGGAAACUACAUCAUCAUCGUCAUCAUCAUCAACACGAGGGUCAAUUAAUCUCACAACCCUGAACUUGUACUCCGCAUUAAGCUGGAUGAUGUCCCCUUGCUGAUCAUCUUUCUUAUAGUCAUAGAAGGGAAGAUCGCAGGUGAACCCCACCGUUACAUAACUGUAGACUUGAGGUGGGGGAGGAAGAGGAACCCACUGGACUGUGUGUGGAUUGCAGAUGUAGUAAUCGCGCUGACUAUACUCGCUUGCGCAGCACAAAACUAAGUCGUUGUAGGCACCUACCACAAUUGGCUCUUGUUUCAAACCGUGGAUGCUCACAAGCCCUUUGAACAACUGAGCUAGGGGCCUAGAGGAUGGUGAAACUCUACUAAGGAAUUCCUCCCCUUGUAUGCUUAUGGCAGAACCUGUUGGCUUUUUCUUACGAUUCCUUUGAACACAUAGAAAAAGGCGGAUAAAAUGAGGAUCUGAUAGGAGACUGCACCAACGCUUGGAAACAAGCUUGCAUUGAGAAACGGACUUAAAACAAGGGAGUCUACAAAGGAUUUCAACCAAUAAUGACUCUGGCAGAUGAUCAAUAUUAUUGUCCCGCAAUAUUGAUGAUGUCCUUUUCAAUCUUAUUGGGGGAAGAAUAUUAGCAUAGGCCGGUACUGCUCUAGGAGAUAACUGGGUUGUUCUACUGCAGACUCCAUCAGUGGCAAUUGUACCAUUAAGAUCUCUCAUGGAGACCGGCAAAAUCGAAGUCAAUUUGCUUGGUGUAGGCGUUUUUACCUGGACAAGACUUAUGCAUGUUUAACUCUACAUAAAAAAAGGUUGCCAUAAACACAUUUUUUUUAUCAAGAAAAAACAAAAAGAUACAGUACUAUGCUAUGGAGAAGGAUCGUUACCUAACAAAGGAGCGAAAUUUCAAUCGGCUGCACAAUUCACAACCUUGCAUCUCGAAUGUCGUGUGUGGAUUUGAAAUCACCGAAACACAUUAAUAGGCAAGGCAAAAGAACACGACGACUGCAAAAACACCAGAAGUGUGAAACAAAAAAGCAAAAGCCAAAAAGAAGAGCCGAACAGGCAAAAUUGUCCUAAAGUUGGACUUGCUCAAGCCUCUUGAGGCAUAUAUAUUUAAAAUUCUUUAAUUAUUAAAGGGGGCACAUAUCAAUACGACGGAAGGAAAACUUGGGUGAAAAUAAUAAUAACAAUAACAGGAACAGACACUUAAAAGUUUCCUACAUACAAACUAGAUGCUAAUUCAUCCACAACUGCACCAUACGCUAGAAGCCAGCUGGUCAGGGGCGAUUGGUCCAACCUCAGCUUUCAAGGCAAAUACAAGUGCAAGCACACUACCUAGCCUGCAGCUAUUCCUCCACCAUGGUAAGCUAGGUGGUAACGCAAAACAGGUAGGGAAAAGACAUUUGAAGAGGAAAACAAGAAAUAUGAUACUUUUCAUGAUUUCUAAACACUUAAUAAUUUGAUCCUUAAGCUUUUAAAUGAAACUGCAUAAAAAGAGUAGUGGCUUUGUGCUGACAAAGUACAGACAAAAGGAUUUUACCUAACAAAGCCAGCCAAUAUUAGAUCAGGCAACCAAUGAAUCUGAAUCUGACUCGGCAGUGUAACUUUUAUUCCCUCCUCUGAAACAUAUUCACAAUCUGGCCGCCGGAUGUGAAGAAGGAAAAAAAAAACACCCCAUAGUACUGCAAGUUCAUUUCAAUCCAAAACUUGCACUCUGAGUAAUCGCAAUUUUUCAUGACAUUAGGAGAGAGAACAAAGCCAGAAAUCACUUUGUUCUAAUAACUGGAAAUAUUAAAGAGCAUAGGAAAUGAGGUAAUAUUAUCUCCCAGACAGUCGUCCUCCCAUAAUCUAAUACCUUCACCAUUGCCCAGGACAAACUCGCAACAGCUCGAAAAAGAAGGGUAAUUGGAAGACAUGUCUUUCCAAGGAUUCCAUGUGGAACCUCCCAUAACAAUCCUGGUGCCCCACCUAUUAACCAUCCCGUAUUUACUCCGAAUCACAGCAUACCAAAGGGAUAGGAAAGAGAGGAUUUUACCUAACAAAAGGGUAGUACAAGAUCAGCACACCACUGACUUUGACACUGAAGUGCUCAAAUAGUAUCAAAAGGCAAAAUAGAGAGCCUCUUAUUUAUUUCAACUGCAUGGGGGGUGAUGAAACAUGUUAAGCAUACAAGAAGCGAGAAAUGGCACUGGAACAGAUAAAAACCAAAAACCAUGGUUUUCUGCAUCUACAAACCUGACAAAGAGGGUAGCACUAUAUCAGGAAAUCGCUGAUUUUGACACUGCUGCGUAUAUAGCAUCAGAAGGCAAAUGCAAGAGUCUCUAUAUGUUACAACCUGCAACAGGGGAACUGAGACAUGUUAGUAAUAAGCAGAGACAAGACACGAGAAAUAGCACCGGAAAAGAUCAAAUCCAAAAACCUUGUAUAAUUGAAUCUACAAAAGACUCGGAGAUGGAUUUUAUUUUUACCUGACAAUGAGGGUAGCACUAGAUCAGGAAACCGCUGAUCUUGACACUUGUGCUUCAUAAAUACCAUCAAAGGCAAAAGCAAGAGCCCCUAUAUUUACAACCUGCAACAGGCGAAAUGAAACAUUUUAGUAAUAAGAGAAACAAGACACUAGAGAAAUAGCUCCGGAAAAAAUAAAAGCCAAAAACCAUGGUGUUCUGCAUCUACAAACAACUGAGAGAUGGAUACAACUUUUACCUUAUAAAGAGAGUAGCACUAGAUUAGGAAAUUGCUGGUUUUGAUACCGGCGGGUUCAUAAAUAGCAUCAAAAGGAAAAAAGCAAGAGUCCCUAUAUAUUACAACCUGCAACGGGAGAAUGAAACAUUUUAGUAAUAAGCAGAACAAGACAGUAGAGAAAUAGCACCGGAAAAGAUAAAGGCCAAAAACGAUGGUUUUCUGCAUCUACAAACGACUGAGAGAUGGAUUUUAUUUUUACCAGACAGAGAGUAGCACUAGAUCAGGAAAUUGCUGACUUUGACACUGGUGUGUUCAUAAAUAGCAUCAAAAGAAGGAAAAUGUUACAACCUACAACGGGGGAAUGAAACAUUUUGGUAAUAAGCAGAGACAAGACAGUAGAGAAAUAGCACCGGAAAAGAUAAAGGCCAAAAAUGAUGGUUUUCUGCAUCUACAAACGACUGAGAGAUGGUUUUUAUUUUUACCAGACAAAGAGAGUAGCACUAGAUCAGGAAAUCACUGACUUUGACACUGGUGUGUUCAUAAAUAGCAUCAAAAGCAAAAGCAAGAGUCCUUAUAUAUUACAACCUGCAACGGGGGAAAUGAAACAUUUUAGUAAUGAGCAAAGAAAAUACAAUAGAUGGUAGAAAAAGCACCGGAAAAGAUAGAAGCCAAAAAUCUUGGUUUUCUGCAUCUACAAAGUAUGAACGACUGAGAGAUGGAUAUAAUUUUUACCCGACAAAGAGGGUAGCACUAGAUCAGGAAAUUGCUGAUUUCGAGACUGGUGUGUUUAUAAAUAGCAUCCAAAGGAAAAAGCAAGAGGCCUUAUGGACUUUCAACUGCCCCAAAAAUGAAACAUGUUAAACAUAAGACAAGAUAAGACAGAAGGAAAAGGGCACCGGAAGGAAAAGAUGAAACCUAAAAUGUUCUGAUCCAUAAAAGACUGAGAAGGAAUUUACCUGACAACGCGGGCAGAAUUAGAUCAGGAAACCUCUGAUUUGAACUUAGGUGCUCGUAAACAGGACCAAAGGAAAAGGCAAGAGCUUAUUUAUCUUCGAACCUAGGCACUGGGACAUCUGGGUUUCCAAUUGCAGUACGAAAUGAAAUAUUAUGUUUGUUAAGAAUUAGCAAAGACAAAGAGAAAGAAACAGCAGGGAAAAAGGUAAAACUAAAACUAGAGCCCGUCCAAUCCAUCUAAAUAAAAGACACAUUUCAAGGAAAAUAUUGUCUCAAAGAUUGUUGUUGCUUUUUAAUGAAUUCUUCAUAUGCACAUGAAAAACAAGUGCACCAGAUUAAUGUAGCAUGUUGAUAAUGUAUGUGUGUGUGUGUGUGCGUGUGCGCACGCGCGCGUAUGUGUAUAUGCGAAGCUAAAACAGAAUACCCACUGCACCACACCGGCCAAUGUAAGCCAGCAUGCAUGCAUUCAUUCAGUAACUAGGAUGAUGUUGUUUGAAUGAGGAUUUGGAAUCACCAACUGACAACUGCACUGGAAAUGACGCAUAGCAUCAUCCUAGUUAAUAAUAAUGACAGAACAAAACACAAUUUGAGUAAUUGCUCGAGCAGGUCUGUCUGUCUUUCAGUCUGUCAUGGUAACUUAUUGAAAAAUUCUUACUUGAAUUAAGCCACCCUUUAUAAAAACUUAGAUCAGAAUCUAACAUCACCACGAAAGCAAGAGGCUUUAUUUGUUUGUUGGUGAAAUAAAUUCAAAAAGCACACAAAAACUCUUGAAUAAAUAACAAGUCUAGUGCUUUUUAAUCAAAUCAAAUCAAUUCAAUUCAAUUCAAUUCAAUUCAGUUCAGUUCAAUUCAGUUCAGUUCAAUUCAAUUCAUAAAAUCAAAUAAAAUUAAUGUAUGAAUCUUAAGCACCCAUGAAUCUCAAGCACCAGCAAUUCAUAAAAUCAAAUGAAUUCAUGUAUGAAUCUUAAGCACCCAUGAAUCUCAAGCACCAGAGAGAGGGAUUUGUUGCUAUACCUAAAAAGCAAAGAAAAAAAACCAAAAAUUUAGAUAUCAGGCAUUGAGUUUAACCACCCACCGCUGAAUCUGACUCAGAAAUGAAAUGAAUCGCAAAUCCAAUUUCCCUCCCUGGCUCAGUCUCUCGGAAGCGGAAGCGGUGGCGGUGGUGGCCGCUAGGAGAAAUGAAACCCUUAGCCGGCGGCGAGAAGGAUAAGAAUCGUCGGGAAACGCCAGCGGAGCCGUGCUUCGGUUUGGUCACCGACGGGAUUGGGUGAGCGCCGAGGAUUGUGCCAUUGGUUUUCAAUUUUUUCCCUUAAUUUUUUGAGUAAAUUGUACAAAUGGUCCCUCAAUUUUAAUCAAAUUGGAGCAAUGGUCCCUCAACUAAAUCCAUUACCAUUGGUCCCUCAACUUAUCAAAAUGUGUAGCUAUAGUCCUUUUUAUCAAUUUUGUCAAAAUUUUGUCAAAAUAAGCUAGGUUGGAAUGACCAUUUAUAUAAUUAGGGUUCAUUAACUCAUCAAAGUGUAUAAUUAUGGUUCUUUUUGUCAACUAUGUCAAAAAAUUUGUCAAAACAAGUUAUAUUGGAAGGACCAUUGCUACAAGUGGGUUAAAGUUAAAGGACCAUUUCUCCACUUGAAUUAAAGUUCAGGGACCAAUGGUAAUGGAUUUUUAGUUGAGGGACCAUAGCUGCACGUUUUGAUAAGUUGAGGGACCAAAGGUAAUGGAUUUUUAGUUGAGGGACCAUUGCUCCAAUUUGAUUAAAGUUGAGGGACCAUUUGUACAAUUUACUCUAAUUUUUUAAGCGCAACGCCAUUAGCUUCCACGUGUUGAAACCAUUAUCACUUGGCUGUUUUUUGGCAGACUUUUUCGGGUGUUAACUUUCCAUUUUAUUUUUUCCGAACGAUAAUAUUUACAUUAGGAGGGAGAAAAUAUAGUUGGUGGGCUAAAUCUCAUAACGAAUUAUUAAUAAUAUGAUUUAAAAUCGUUUAUAGAGAGAAUUGAACAAAAAAAAAAUUAUUUAAGCAAAGAUGAAUAUCAUUGAACCGUCGUACUAAAUGACAACAUUCAUUUGAAACACAAGAAAUCUAAAAUUAAAACUUAUUACAAAAAGAUUAAGUACCUAAAACUCUCCAAACUUUUUAGUAUCAUUCCAAAUUAGUCUCAUACAUUCCAAACAAGUAUCCAACCUAAACUUAUUGAAAUUGUCACAUUCAUUAAGCCCAAUUAAUUUUUAUGUUAAAUAUACAUGUGGCAACAGAGGAUUAAGAAUUCAAAUACGAUUUCAAGGUGAUUUUUUCUGCUCAUUUGUCGCUUCUUGGCUAGUAAAGCUUUCAAUUCUUCUUUUGUGGGGAGAGGGGGUGAAGAUGAUGGUGGCCUCAUCAUGACACUACAUAUUAUUUCAGCACUCUCCAUGACCUUCUCCUCAAUGUCAGCGGCUUGAAUUGUAGGUGGAGUUGGUGGUUGUGCGCUGGGUUUGGAGGUGUUGGCCUGAUGGGAGUGGUGGUGACCGUUAAUUGGUGAAGGCUAUACUUCCAUGACCUUCGAUUAUUUUUAUAGAUAAAGUAAACUCAAGCUACUAAAAGAAAUUUAACUGAGUUUGAUGGAUGUCACAUUUUCAAUAUAUUGGGUACUUGUUUGAAAUGUUCAAAAAAUUUGAGACCUAUUUGGAAUGACAUUAAAAGGUUUGGGGGUUUUAGGUACUUAAUCUUAAAAAAUAUAUGCAAUAGUAUUUUACUUAGACUAAAACCCAGUUAACAACAACAACGAUAAAGCCUUUUUCACCUAUGUGGGGUCGGUUGUAUGAAUUAUGGAAUGUCAUUAUGCUCGGUCUUGUGACAUGCCUUCCCUUAACUCCAAUUAUUCUAUAUAUCUUCUUAGAGUCUCUUUUCAAGUAUUUCUAGGUCUUCCUCUACCCUUAUGCCCUGGACCUCUCUCGUAAAGACACCUUCUAACUGGAGCAUUCGUAGGUUUGCUAUUCACAUGUCCAAACCACCUUCUAAUUGAGGCUACUUCUACAUUACCUUGAAUAUCCUCAUUCCUAAUCUUGUCAUUUCCUGUGUACCCACACCUUCAUUGAAACAUUAUAAUCUCUGCCACACUCAUUUUGUGCUCGUGUUGAUGCGUUCUCAUCACCAAAGCAUUCUCAUAUGUACCGAGUCUUUUCCCAUUAUGCUCCACCCACAUAAGCCAUAAGCCAAUUCAUUAAGACCUAGUUUGGGAGUGAGGUGCUUAAAAAAAAAAACACCCAUGAAAAAAACCUAUGAGGGUUUUAGGUGUUUGGUAAACUGAAAAAAAUGGCUUAUUUUGGAAGCUGCUGUGAGAAUAAGCUGAAAUCAAAGGAAAAAGCUAAAGCUGCUAUUUGCAGCUUUAGAAAACUGGCUUUUUUUCAAAGCACACGGAGCUACAGUGCUUCUUUAAUGAAAAGACCCACUAUUAGAUUGCUUUUUUUUUUCCAAAAGCACUUUUACAAAAAAGUUUACCAAACACUCUGCUGAUUUAUUUCACAGCCGCUUAUUCUCACAGCAGUUUUUUUUCAAAGCACAACAAUACCAAACCAGCCCUAAUUAGAAUUACCUUCUCACAUCUUAUAGUUUUCGGAUACCAAGGAUACUCCAAAUUAUAUUUUUUGCGUAUAUUAUGGAUAUGUUAGUUUUAUGGUAUCAACAACUUUAUGCUACCAACAACUAAUAAUUCUGAAAAUAAAUAAUAAUAAGAAGCAGAAGAAGAAUAAAUAUGACAAAAUAAGGAAUAUAUACAUAAUAAAUUUGAUUUUGACUUUAACUCAGGAAUAUAUACAUAAUACAUUUUCACCAAAUUAGAUAAAGAAUUUUGCCUUGUGUAAGUGAGAGUUUCAAAUUUUUAAUGGUAUUAGAGAGAGGUUGACUCAAAUUUGAAGUCAACUUUUUAAGGGUAUUAAUGAUGGUGCUGGGCACAGGUGCUAAUGCUCACAUUACUCCUGAUCUACAAAACCUGGUAAACCCAAAGGAGUAUAACGGUAAUGAUGGUGUUGGUGGUGUAGGUAAUGAUUCUAGCAUAUUAAUCUCUCAUUAUGGUUCUAACAAAAUUCGCACCGAUGCUUGCUCAUUUGAUCUUCAAGACAUUCUUCACUGCCCUAAAGCUACCACUAGUAUAAUAUCUGCCCAUAAGUUUACCUUAGACAAUGACUGUUAUUUACUAAUUUUUCCACACUUCUUUCUUGUUAAGGACCUUAAGACCCGGAGGACACUUUUCCGAGGGAGAUGUGAGAAUGGCUUAUAUCCAUUUUCUGGUGGCAAUGGACAUCUCCAAAAUCCAGUCACAGCCUUUCUGGGUGUUAGAGUGUCGGCUCAAAAAUGGCAUGCUCGCCUUAUGAUAAGCUUUUUAAAAAACAGCCAAAAUAUGAUAUGCUUAAAAUAUUUGGUUGUCAAUGUUUUCCCUGGUUGAUGCCGUAUACACACAAUAAACUUCAAUAGAAAUCUAAAUCAUGUGUGUUUUUAGGUUAUUCUUUGAAUCAUCAAGGCUAUAAAUGUAUGGAUUUGUCCACAAGACGAGUAUAUGUGUCUCGCCACGUGUUAUUCAAUGAAGACUGUUUUCCUUUUCAAGGACUCACAUCUUCCUCCGAGAGCGUUCAAACGUAAGGUAUUUCACAUUCACCAGAUCUCUUAUUCAAUUUUCCUCUAAUUAAUGCCCCUUCUUUGACCGAGAUACCUACUCCCAUACAAUUUACAAACACCAACCAUCACCACACCACAAAUCCCAUCCACAUCUGCCAACCCGUGCCAAAGAGUGAACCUGCCUCAUCCUACCUCUAUCACCCCAUGCCGAAUAGUAACCCAACCUGCAAACCCACGCCAAACUCUCUUCCACCCUGCUCCUACUUCUUCACCUAUUCAAACAGACCAACCCGAUGUGACCUCAUAACCUAGACCUUCUUCACCUAUUCAAACUGACAACCCCGAUGUGACUUCACACCCUAGUCCCAUAGGUUCCUCUCCCGUGUUAAAUGAGCAAGCUACAGUAAGUGAAGAACCUCUGCUAGUGCCUCACGAGGCUUCUAUUGACCCACCACACUCUAUGACCACACGUUCCAAGUCGGGAAUACAUAAACCAAACCCUAAGUAUGCUAUGCAUGUUGCUAUUAUUGAUGUUCCUGUUGAGCCUACGUGUUUUACUCAGGCAGUCAAAUAUCCAGAAUGGAGAAAUGCUAUGGUCCAAGAAUUCAAAGCAUUGCAGCGCUGUGGGACAUGGAGCUUGGUUCCAUUUUGUGCAAGCAUGAAUGUUUUGCCCAACAAAUGAGUGUUUAAAAUAAAGAGGAAUGCAGAUGGCACCAUUGAAAGACAUAAAGCACGUUUAGUUGCAAAUGGUUUUCAUCAACAGGCUGGCGUGGAUUACAGAGACCUUUAGUCCUGUUGUCAAACACAGUACCAUAAGACUUGUUCUCGGUCUUGCAGUCUCCAAAAACUGGCAUGUUCGACAGCUUGAUGUGCAGAAUGCAUUUCUGCAUGGCUAUUUACGUGAAGAAGUAUACAUGAGACUGCCUGCGGGGUUUGUUGAUAAACAGUUUCCCCACCAUGUUUGUAAACUGCAGCGUUCCGUUUAUGGUUUAAAACAAAGCUCCUAGGGCUUGGUUUCAACGCUUUUCUGAAUUUUUGCUGCAACUUGGAUUUCAAGAAUCAACAUGUGAUUACAGUCUCUUUGUGUUUAAUCAGAAAGGUAUGUAACUCAUCCUGUUAAUCUAUGUAGAUGAUAUUCUACUUACUGGGAAUAGUCUACAACAGAUGGCACAUUUGAUUACCAAGCUACGGACCUUGUUUUCUACGAAAGAUUUGGGAACUCUCCAUUAUUUUUUGGGUGUUGAAGUUAAGUAUUUUGGGAAUUGCAUGCAUCUCAGUCAAUCCAGUGUACUAUAACCCCUCAAAACAAAAACAAAAUUAAUAGUUAAACAGAUACUGAAAAGGAUGGCAAUUAUGUGUAAAAGCAGGUUUGUAGUAGUGAUUGAUAUUCAGAUUAUGUAAAGCAAAAAAGGUAUCCUAAUCAGAGACUGUCAGAGCAACUGAUCUGGAGAGUGCACCGAGGCUAGCAUGUAAUUACAGAACAAGAGUUUUAGGAAACUGAAACCUAGAAACAUCAACCAGACACCAAAACUCAAACAAUCCGACCUCUAUGCCUUCACCCUUUCAUGUAAGUGUGGUUUCGUGUCUCUGUAAUGUUAAAAGGUUUUGAGUUUGUUUGAUUGUCCGUUCUCAUGUAUUGUUGGUGGAACCAACUGGAGGGCUCAGAUGUGAAAAUGGUGAACCAUUUGGCCUUUUCCUGUCAUUUUAUAUUUAAUAUAUUGUUGUAGGUUAUCAAAACACUGAAAGCCGAGGUGUUGAAGGGGCAACACCAGAUCGUCUUCAAAGAGUUUUUUACUUCAGAAGUUCCCUAGGCUUGGAAGGUGACAGAAAAUAUGGGAGCAUGCUAUGGUGUACAGGGAGAUCAGCAGGUUUCGUGAUCAAUCUUUUCAACCUCCUGACAAGAUCAUCUGCAGAUGAAGAUAUCAGAAGCAUUAUCUCCUGGAGAGGAGAUAACGCUUCGUUCAUUGUUCAUAACUUCACCAACUUGCACAACCUUGUGAAAAAGUUGCAUGGACAGACGCAAUCUCAAUGGCUGAAGGAUUUGAAUGGCUAUGUAAGUUCUCAAUUAAGAAGUAUUUUAGUUCUUUACGAAAAAAAAAGUUUCUUAAGUUUUACCGGGAGCAGAAAAGAACUUUUAGGCACAGACAAGGUCUACUCCAAAGGGAGCGACCGGAUUUGAUUCCAAACAUUCAUUACUUUUCUGAUCCCGGUAAAACCCCUGAUAAACAAAUAACAAACUUAAGAAACUUUUUUUUCGUAAAGAACUAAAAUACUUCUUAAUUGAUAACUUACAUAGCCAUUCAAAUCCUUCAGCCAUUGAGAUUGCGUCUGUCCAUGCAACUUUUUCACAAGGUUGUGCAAGUUGGUGAAGUUAUGAACAAUGAAUGAAGCGUUAUCUCCUCCUCAGGAGAUAACGCUUCUGAUAUCUUCAUCUGCAGAUGAUCUUGUCAGGAGGUUGAAAAGAUUGAUCACGAAACCUGCUGAUCUCCCUCGUACACCAUAGUAUGCUCCCAUAUUUUCUGUCACCUUCCAAGCCUGGGGAACUUCUAAAGUAAAAAAACUCUUUGAAGACGAUCUGGUGUUGCCCUUUCAACACCUCGGCUUUCAGUGUUUUGAUAACCUACAACAAUAUAUAUAUAUAUAUAUAUAUUAAAUAUAAAUAUAAAAUGACAGAAAAAAGUCAAUUCAAUUUCAGUAAUCCCGAAAAGAAAAGGCCAAAUGGUUCACCAUUUUCACAUCUCUGUCAUCUGAGCCCUCCAGUUCCUAUAUAUGAGGUUACACCAACAAUACAUUAGAACAUGAGAACGGACAAUCAAACAAACAAACUCAAAACCUUCUAACAUUGCAGAGACACAAAACCACACUUACAUGAAAGAACAAUCGGUGAAUUUGCUUCAGUGCUUCUAGAACCGUUGCAAGAGCUCCCUCGAACUUGGUUUCAUCGCUCCCAAGCAGUAUCAAAUUUUUCCAAUGCUUUUUCCAUUCCUAUAGAUCACAACUCCGCCUAUGUCUUACAUGGCCGGUCCCAAGCCCGGAUAAAGGAGGAGGGGGAGGGCGUCAGGUAGUCGACAGCCGGCACUCCAUGAUCACGUCGAAUCCUUAUGAAAAUGAAUCCAGAACAAAAUCACGCUAAAGCUAGGGCGUCACCCGUAAGUGGCGCGCUGUGUGGCCCGAGCACAGUGAUAAGUGAGCAAGGGUCGCUGUAUCUCCAUCGGCACCCGGAUGCAGUGUUAAAUGAGCAAGGGGGCCAUAGAAACUUCUUUUCGAACGACUCCACUCAAAGUUGUUUGGGAGCAUAUGCUCCUAUCAACUUUACCCGAGACACACAAAAGAAGUACUUUGAUCCUAUUAGACGGGGGAGGGUGAAGAAGCUAGGACAGAAGGGUAGAGUUCAAGAGAGCAAAAUGCGUUUAGGAACGUGGAAUAUAGGAACCUUAACGGGAAAAUCUAUGGAAGUAGUGGAAGUUAUGGUGAGGAGAAGGAUAAAUAUUAUGUGCCUACAAGAAACUAAGUGGGUUGGUAGUAAGGCAAAGGAUCUAGAAAACUCAGGGUUUAAACUUUGGUAUUCGGGCACAAAUAGAACGAGAAACGGUGUUGGCAUCAUCGUGGACAAGACCUUGGUACAAGAUGUUGUAGAUGUCAAGAGGGUAGGAGAUAGAAUCAUGGCAAUCAAGAUUGUAAUAGGACAAGAACUUAUCAAUGUGAUUAGUGCGUACGCACCUCAAGUAGGGUUGGAUACGAGUUCGAAGGAGAAAUUUUGGGAAGAUCUUGGAGACUUGGUGCAAGGAAUUGCUCAGACGGAGAAGUUAUUUAUAGGAGGAGAUUUAAAUGGACACGUGGGCAGGGAGACAGGCAACUAUGGAGGUUUUCAUGGUGGCCAUGGUUUUGGGGGAGAGAAACGAGGAUGGGGAAGCUAUCUUGGAUUUUGCAAUGGCAUAUGAUCUCUUCUUAGCCAACACCUUCUUUAAGAAGAGAGAAGAACAUGUGAUCACCUACAAGAGUGGGUCGUCAAAAACACAAAUAGAUUUUCUUCUAAUGAGGAAAGAGGAUCGUAUAACUUGUAAGGAUUGCAAAGUUAUACCAGGAGAGAGCGUGGCUAAUCAACAUCGCUUGUUGGUGAUGGAUGUACAUAUCAAAAGAGUAAGACAAAAGAACAAGACUUGGAAGUGCCCAAGGACUAGAUGGUGGAAUCUAAAAGAAGAAAAACAAGUCAUUUUCAAAGAGAAGGUAAUCACUCAAUGUGUGUGGGAUAGAGAGGGGGAAGCUAGCCAAAUGUGGGAUUCCAUGGCUAGUUGUAUCCGAAAAGUAGCAAAAGAGGUAUUAGGAGAGUCCAAGGGCUUUGCCCCACACCAAAAGGAAUCUUGGUGGUGGAAUGAGGAGGUACAAACAAAGGUGAAGGCUAAGAAGGAAUGUUGUAAAGCCUUAUACAAGGAGAGGACAGAUGAAAAUGGUGAAAGGUAUAGAAAAGCGAAGCAAGAGGCGAAGAAAGCUGUCAGAGAAGCUAAGUUAGCGGCUUACGACGAUAUGUAUAAACGACUAGAUACCAAAGAAGGAGAGUUGGAUAUCUAUAAACUAUCUAGAGCAAGGGAAAAGAAGACAAGGGACCUAAACCAAGUGAGGUGCAUCAAGGAUGAGGAUGAAAAGGUUCUUGCUACAGAGAACGCGGUUAAAGACAGAUGGAGAGGUUAUUUUCAUAAUCUUUUCAAUGAAGGACAUGAAAUGAGUGCUUCUUUAGGGGAGUUGAGUAACUCAGAAGAGUGUAGAAACUACUCUUUUUAUCGUCGAAUCCGGAAGGAAGAAGUGGUUGUAGCUUUGAAGAAGAUGAAGCAUAAAAAAGCAAUAGGCCCAGACGAUAUACCAAUCGAAGUGUGGAAACUUUUGGGAGAGACAGGUAUAACACAUGGCUCACUGACCUUUUCAAUAGGAUUUUGAAAAACGAAGAAGAUGCCAAAUGAGUGGCGAACGAGCACUUUGGUGCCUAUCUACAAGAAUAAGGGCGACGUACAAAAUUGCAUGAACUAUAGGGGUAUUAAGCUAAUGAGUCAUACAAUGAAGCUCUGGGAGAGAGUCAUUGAGCAUAGAUUGAGGCAAGAGACACGGGUUUCGGACAACCAAUUCGGGUUCAUGCCAGGGCGCUCAACCAUGGAGGCAAUCUAUCUCUUACGAAGAUUGAUGGAAAGAUAUAGAGAUGGGAAAAAGGAUUUACACAUGGUCUUUAUAGAUUUGGAAAAAGCGUAUGAUAGGGUCCCAAGAGACAUUCUUUGGAGGAUUUUAGAAAAGAAAGGAGUACGAGUAGCAUAUAUCCAAGCUAUAAAGGAUAUGUAUGAAGGAGCAAAGACUGCCGUAAGAACUCAUGAAGGACAAACCGAAAGCUUUCCCAUAACUGUAGGAUUACAUCAAGGCUCAUCCUUAAGUCCUUACCUUUUUGCGUUGGUAAUGGAUGAGUUAACAAGACAUAUUCAAGAUGAUAUUCCUUGGUGUAUGCUUUUCGCAGACGAUAUAGUGUUGAUAGAUGAAACUCAGGAAGGGGUAAAUGCAAAGCUUAACCUUUGGAGAGAAGUGUUGGAAUCUAAAGGUCUUCGCCUAAGCCGAUCAAAGACAGAAUAUAUGGAGUGCAAGUUCAGUGCAAAUGGAGGCCAAAACGAGUUAGGGGUGAGGAUCGGAGAUCAAGAAAUACCAAAGAGCGACCGUUUUCGUUACCUAGGAUCUAUCUUGCAAAAGAACGGAGAAUUAGAUGGAGAUCUCAACCAUAGAAUACAAGCUGGAUGGAUGAAGUGGAAGAGUGCAUCCGGCGUGUUAUGUGACCGCCGUAUGCCACUGAAGCUCAAGGGAAAAUUUUUAUAGGACGGCAAUAAGGCCGGCGAUGCUGUAUGGCACAGAAUGUUGGGCGGUGAAACAUCAACACGUACACAAAAUGGGUGUAGCGGAGAUGAGGAUGCUUCGUUGGAUGUGUGGGCACACGAGAAAGGAUAAGAUUAGGAAUGAGGAUAUCCGGGGUAAAGUAGGAGUAGCCGAAAUUGAAGGAAAGAUGAGAGAAAAUCGGUUACGGUGGUUUGGACAUGUGCAAAGAAGGCCUACUGACGCUCCGAUUAGAAGAUGCGACUAUGGGACAGAGGUUCAGGGCCGAAGGGGUAGAGGAAGACCUAGGAAAACUUUGGAAGAGACUCUAAGAAAAGACUUAGAGUACUUGGAUCUAACGAAGGACAUGACACAGGAUCGAGCACAAUGGCGUUCUAAGAUUCAUAUAGCCGAUCCCACUCAGUGACUUGGAUUUUCCAAGUCUCCAACCGAGAAGUUUUCCUCACUCGGAAAAUUAAGGGAACACUACCCCAACCUACAUGCUCCACUCAGAAAGCUUCAACAUACAAGCUUCAACAAAAGAAAAUUCAAAGAACUUAGCGAAGAAGGCUUUGGUGUAUUUAACACAAUACGUUGAAAUGAAGGAAAGCUUAUUUAUUGAUAUCCCCGAUAAGCUACAAAUAUGUACAUAUACAUGAGUCAAAAUAAACACACAAGAGGGAGCCUUCACAAAGGUUGCUUAGGAGAAGUCUCAGCAGUCGGUAGAGCCCCAGAAAGAGAAGGCACCGGAGGGGGAUCAUUUGGAGCCUCAGUACUGGACAGAAUCCCUAGAAGGAGGAGGCAUCAGAGGUUGAUCAUUUGGAGCUUCAUUACGCGGUACAGCCCCAGAAGACGAAGGCAAUAAAUGCCUUUGGAACAAACCCACAAAUCUCUGAUGAUCAAGUAAAACCUGACCAUCAGUUUCCUUCAUCUGGUCAAGCUUCCUCUUCAUGUUUGUAGCAUAGUCAUGUGCGAGCCGGUGCAACUGUUUAUUCUCAUGCUUGAGCCCUCUAAUCUCCUGUUUGAGACUCAUCACUUCAGCCGCCAAUGAUUCAACUUGGCGGGUUCGAGCAAAUAGGCGUUGGGCCAUAUUAGACACAGAACCUGCACACUGAACACUGAGAGCCAGCGAAUCCUUAACAGCUAACUCAUCAGACCGUUUGGAAAGUAGUCUGUUAUCUUUGGGAGUGAGAAGGUUCCUGGCCACCACCGCAGCGGUCAUAUCAUUCUUCAUCACGGAAUCCCCAACGGUAAGAGGACCAGUAGGGGAGACGAAGGAUGGGCGCCAUAUGUUGUCUGGAGAAGGCGGGGCUGCCUCUUCAACAAGGUUCAAGUCAAAACGACGGUCGGAGGGGCCAGACAUUUUCAAAGGUGUUGAAGAGAGAAGAGGUCGGACAAAUCAAGAUCUUAGAAGUGCAAGAAUGAAGCUUCUACUGGUGGAGAUUCAAGUGUGCUUUGGAACUUAAUGCCAGCCCUUAUAAAAAUCUGCACUCGACGGAGCUUCAGAAAUCGAAGAGGCGCCUGCUCAGAAAUCGAAGAGGCGUUUGCUUUCUCAAAAGCUGGGCUGCUUAGAGAUCACGAGGGUUGAUCUCAGAAAUCGAAGAGGCGUUUGCUUUCUCAAAAGUUGGGCUGCUCAAAGACCACGAAGGCCGAUCUCAGAAAUCGAAGAGGCGCUCGCUUUCUCAAAAGCUGGGCUCCCCAGAGACCACGAGGGCCGAUCUCAGAAAUCGAAGAGGCACCUACUUUUUCCAGCCUUGUCAGCACCUGUCACACGCACACUCAGCUUUGCGGAAAAUUAUGGGCAUUCUGUCGAAGACUUCUGGGGAAGUAGAAAACACAUGAAUCUUACUGUUCAAUCACCCACUUCCCACACGCAACAAUAGCUCAUGGGUACCACAGAAAAAACUUUGCCAAAGUUCUCUGCCAAAGUUGAGCACGUGAAGCUUGCAGCUCCCACUACAUCGCUCUGACCAAGAAGGGUAAAAGAAUAGCAAAGAAACAGCACUAACAAAGUUUAGAACCCAUAAAUUUUGAAGGUCUAGCUACCAUAUUAUUACCCACAAAGGGUAAAGGAACAGUACCACUGCUGGAUAAUUGGAAAGUCCCUGUGUGUCAACCUCUGUGCUUCGUGGCAAGGUAGACUAGCAAACAUGCCCAACCUUUACUCACAUUCGAGAAAACACUCCCAAUAAGAUUGCUUGCUCCAAAAUCGAAGAGGCACCGUCCUCCGAAUCUCGAGAGCCAGACUCCCAACAUGACUACUUUCUUAAAAAUCGAAGAGAGGGUAAAGGAACAGUACCAUUGCUGGAUAAUUGGAAAGUCCCUGUGUGUCAACCUCUGUGCUUCGUGGCAAGGUAGACUAGCAAACAUGCCCAACCUUUACUCACAUUCGAGAAAACACUCCCAACAAGAUUGCUUGCUCCAAAAUCGAAGAGGCACCGCCCUCCGAAUCUCGAGAGCCAGACUCCCAACAUGAUUACUUUCUCAAAAAUCGAAGAGACACUGCUCCCCGAAUCUUCGAGAGCCAGACCCCCAGCAUGAUUGCUUUCUCAAAAAUCGAUGAGGCAUCGUUCUCCGAAUCAAUCGAAGAGGCGCUCGCUUUCUCAAAAGCUGGGCUGCUCAGAGACCACGAGGGCCGAUCUCAGAAAUCGAAGAGGCACCUACUUUUCUAGCCUUGUCAGCACCUGUCACACACGCACACUCAGCUUUGCAGAAAUUAUGGGCAUUCUGUCGAAGACUUCUGGUGAAGUAGAAAGCACAUGAAUCUUACUGUUCAAUCACCCACUUCCCACACGCAACAAUAGCUCAUGGGUACCACAGAUAACUUUGCCAAAGUUCUCUGCCAAAGUUGAGCACGUGAAGCUUGCAGCUCCCACUACAUCGCUCUGACCAAGAAAGGUAAAAGAAUAGCAAAGAAACAGCACUAACAAAGUUUAGACACAUAAAUUUUGAAGGUCUAGCUACCAUAUUAUUACCCACAAGGGUAAAGGAACAGUACCACUGCUGGAUAAUUGGAAAGUCCCUGUGUGUCAACCUCUGUGCUUCGUGGCAAGGUAGACUAGCAAACAUGCCCAACCUUUACUCACAUUCGAGAAAACACUCCCAACAAGAUUGCUUGCUCCAAAAUCGAAGAGGCACCGUCCUCCGAAUCUCGAGAGCCAGACUCCCAACAUGACUACUUUCUCAAAAUCGAAGAGAGGGUAAAGGAACAGUACCAUUGCUGGAUAAUUGGAAAGUCCCUGUGUGUCAACCUUUGUGCUUCGUGGCAAGGUAGACUAGCAAACAUGCCCAACCUUUACUCACAUUCGAGACAACACUCCCAACAAGAUUGCUUGCUCCAAAAUCGAAGAGGCACCGCCCUCCGAAUCUCGAGAGCCAGACUCCCAACAUGAUUACUUCCUCAAAAAUCGAAGAGACACUGCUCUCCGAAUCUCGAGAGCCAGACCCCCAGCAUGAUUGCUUUCUCAAAAAUCGAAGAGGCAUCGUUCUCCUCCGAAUCUCGAGAGCCAGAUACCACAGACCACUUUUUCAAAGUGCUCUGACAGAGUUAAAACAUGUGAAACUGGCAGCUCCCACUACCGUGCUAUGACCAAGCAGGGUAAAGGAAUAGCAUUACUACUUGUUAGGGAGACUCCUAUAUAUGUCGACCUCCAUCCCCAACGGACAGGCAGACCUGCAAAAAUGCUCAACCCUUCAUCAUAUCUGAGAGGGCACUCCCAACGAAGCCUUUCGAAAUAUUCAGCUUUCUUUCCCCCCGAUAAUACCUCUGCAAACAAGCUAUACUAGAGCAAGAAUAUCUCAUAUCAUCAGGGUUAAAAGCAAGAGUAUCCCAUAUCAUGCUUUUUCCCUGUCUUUUUCCUUUGGCCUUGUUUUUACCUGCAAGACAAGGAGAAAGAGAGCAAUCAGUCAGCACUUGGAAUCAAGCUUCCAGCCAGGAACUGACUGCCUGGAACCCCUUACCUGAUUACUUACCUGGCAUUGCUCUCGAGUACUCAUCUUCAACAUCUUAUGUUUCCAGGGAAGAUUCCGCAUCUGCUUGAGGAACAGAUAGGGCAAGUGCGAAGGAUACAAGGAAGCAUGUGGAGACAAGCGUAACAGCACACGUGCCGAUACAUCCAUUACUCUGUCAAAAGCAAAAGUAUCCCAUAUCAGCAGGGUGGAACGUACUCUAGAUUUGAUGGACUUGUUUUGACCCUCAAAUUCUUCAGUCGGCCUUAUACUCUGGAGGAAACCAGAAAACCCUCCAGCUCAGUUCAAGAAUAAGCCUGUGGAAAGUUACUUCUUCAAAAGCAAAAGUAUCUCAUAUCAUCUCUUCUCAUUUUUCUUCUCUUUAUCCUUCAUGCUGCUGCAAGAUGGGGAGAAGGUGAACAAUCAGUCGGAGCUCUGAUUGCUUACCUUGUCUGUCACCUCUUUCAGCAGACCCCCUAGCUCGGCGACUUGGGGGACUCCUACUACAUGGUUUGUAUCGCGCUUGACCAAGCCUGAAACUACAAGUAAGCUUCAAGUGAAAUUGAUACAUUACCUUGUGCAUCUCCACCAGUUAAAGAUACCACCCCUGGAUGGAGGAAGAGUACUUCCAGAGAAGAUGCCACAUCUACCUAUGAGACAGAUAAGGCAAGUCAAGACGACACCACACUCCGAUACUUAGAAGUUUCGUGAUUACGAGAUCAUUCUCCCACAAUAUUUCCUUAAUGUCAUUUGUACUAAAUCAUUCACUUGUACUCACUAAAGGAGAGCUUGAACCUAUGUACUUGUGUAAACCCUUCACAAUUAAUGAGAACUCUUCUAUUCCGUGGACGUAGCCAAUCUGGGUGAACCACGUACAUCUUGUGUUUGCUUUCCUAUCUCUAUCCAUUUAUAUACUUAUCCACACUAAUGACCGGAGCAAUCUAGCGAAGAUCACAAAAAGCGACCGUUUUCGCUACCUAGGAUCUAUCUUGCAAGAGAACGGAGAAUUAGAUGGAGAUCUCAACCAUAGAAUACGAGCUGGAUGGAUGAAGUGUUAAGAAUGCAUCCGGCGUGUUGUGUGACCGUCGUAGGCCACUGAAGCUCAAGGGAAAAUUUUAUAGGACGGCAAUAAGGCCAGCGAAUGUUGUAUGGCACAGAAUGUUGGGCGGUGAAGCAUCAACACGUACACAAAAUGGGUGUAGCGGAGAUGAGGAUGCUUCGUGGGAUGUGUGGGCACACGAGAAAGGAUAAGAUUGGGAAUGAGGAUAUCCGAGGUAAAGUAGGAGUAGCCGAAAUUGUAGGAAAGAUGAGAGAAAAUCGGCUCCGGUGAUUUGGACAUGUGCAAAGAAGGCCGAAUGACGCUCCGGUUCGAAGAUGUGACUACGGGACAGAGGUUCAGGGCCGAAGGGGUAGAGGAAGACCUAGGAAAACUUUGGAAGAGACUCUAGGAAAAGACUUAGAGUACUUGGAUCUAACGGAGGACAUGACACAAAACCGAGCGCAAUGGCGUUCUAGGAUUCAUAUAGCCGACCCCACUUAGUGGGAAAAGGCUUUGUUGUUGUUGUUGUUGUUGUUGUUGUAAGUGAUAAUCGACAGGGAACAAAUCACUUACAUUUUCUGUAUUGGCAAGGAUCACAACUGCAUUAUCGUGACCAAGCACAAUAUCUAGGCCUUCUUGAUGUUUUUGGGCACCAUUGUCGUGUGAGAUCACCCUAUCACUGCAAAUGCUCCUUUGACGGAUCAAGUAAACUAGCCUUUUUCCAGCGCAUAUGAUCGUUCACCAGCUGUGUACAUGUACAUCUCGUACAUGUAGCUGGCAUCCCUUAAGAAGGACCUAACAGAGGGCCUCAACGCCUUGCAUGCAUCUUGCAUGCAUCUUGCGUGCACAGGCAUGUACAAGACAUUCAAAGAAUUAGAAAAAGAACAAACAACGACUCACUACAACAACCGUAUAAACCUGAAACACUAGAUAUGUUAAAAUACAUAGAAGUACAAACAUUACAAACCUUGGGGACCAUCUGUUUGGCUCUGCAAGCAGUCCUCUCCUGAAUCGGCGGAAUUAAGGAGUGUGUGAUCCACAUCAACUACUAAGUAAAGUUUCUUACGGUGCAGCAAUUUCUUAAUGCCUAAUUUCUUGACUCUCUCAAGUUCCUCAUUUUUAAGCAUCAAUCCCUGCAAUAGAUACCAAUAGAUUAGGAAGUCAUUCCUUACUAGAAAAUGGAUAUAAGAAACGAUUAAGCCUUUUUCAAGCAUACGUUUAUCUUUUCCAAAAUAUACCAACAAAUUAUGAAUACAUGUCACAUACCUUGUCUUCGUACCCAAAAUCUUUCUCGUUUACGGGAAGCCCACACACAUAACACAUAUCUUGAAAGGAACCAGGGUGAGUACACGCCUCCUUCGACGACGCUUCUGGACAUAUUAGCAUGGUAAAGCCAAAGCGAACAUAGUGCACACAUUUUAGUACUGUAAUUUGAAAACCCACCAAAAUAGUUACCUGCUUUUUGCUUUUCAGUAUCAUCUUCGGACUCCGAUGAACCAUGCAGGUCUCCCUCAAGAAAUCGGCCAAAUUCCUCAAUGCUAGAGGAGCCGUAUUGUGGCGAAUUCAUCUAAAUUAUUCAACAAUUUAUAAACAAAUUGUGAUUUCUGAGUACCCACAUAGAAAAUUCACAUAAAUUAUGAAAAGAAAAAUAAAAGAAAUCACGCAUAAAAAUUAGUAGAAACGUGAACAACCGUACCGCGAAUUCAGAUGGCAGCGAGAUUGAAAGUUCUGCGAAAUGUUGGAUGAUGCCCUGGUUUUAGGGCUGCGGUGUGGGAAAAUCGAGCUCGUGAAAUUUGAAAUUGGGGAUGAGCGGGAGAAAGAAGUAUUUGAAAGUCUUGAUAAACUUCGAAAAUUAGGGAUUUAAAAAGCACAUGAACAAAUCACAUAAAUCGAGAAACUAUAUUUGCAGAAGAAGACGUUUGAGACAAUGAAUUCAGUCACACAUUUCAUCAAUUCUGAAGAAGCAGAAAAUCGCAAUUUCCAGAGAUCAAAGAUUCAAGGAAGAAGAAGAGUAGAAGAUAGCCAUACCAGAUACGAGAGAGACGGAAGCAGAAAAAGAAAUCAGGUUUGGAAGAGCUCAGCCAAGAUCAAGAGAGCUCAUCCACGGCCGGCGUAGAUAUCAGAGGUAUUAGGGAGGAAUGAGAUAAUAGGCGGCAAUUGGGCCUCCUUCUCUUAGGAGUGAGAUAAUAGGCGGUGUUAUUUUUCAAGUCGAUCAAUCGUGUGUCCAUUCUCCUACAUCGGAGUCAAUGACAUCCUUUAAUUGAGAGAGUGAUAAAUUUAGAUUCUAAAAUAUUUUAAUGGUUUUUUUUUAUUUUUUAUUAUAUCGAUAUUUUUACAUUAAAAGCAGGGAAGUUCGGUUAAGCCACAUAAUGGACAGCUUAAUUUGGUAUCGAAAUCGCCAUCCACGAAAUUCGAACCUAAGACCUCUCACUUCCAAGUGAAUAUGAGUACCGUCAGACCGUAGUACUGAAUGACAAUGGAUUUUUUUAAGUGACUGAUUUCAAUGAACUUUAAUAAUUUUACAUAAAAUUAUGACAAAUUAUUAUGUAUUUCUAUUAUAGAUUUCUAUGAAUUUCUUAGGAACGUCAAUCAGUUCAAUUAAUUGACAAUCAAGGAACUCUAACACCCACUCCCGGCAGAGAUCAACGUGGCCAUAGAUCCCAACCACACCACCACAUCAGCCUCCAGGGCCGCCACCAAUGAUUUGAGGAGGAACACAUAAAGGAAAAAUUCAGGAGAGAAAUUGUGGUAUUGAGCACUGGUUUGAAGGACAACUGAGUUGAAGGACAAAGAUGAGAGGGGUAAACCCCGAUGGAUGAGGAUGAAGAAGAUGAAGUCGAAGAGGACGAUGAGAUGUGGCAUUUGGUAUUCAUAUCACCCACCCUCAAAAUCAAAUCCAUCAAAAUUUCUCAUUCAUUAAAAUCCUAGUAAACCUGUAGCAUUCUCACUACAUAUUUUUUUUAAACCAUGUUUGACCACCUGCUGAUUUGGAUGUUCUCUUUAAAAUCCUCUUAAAUGUAAUUUGAUCACACCUAGAUUUUAAAAUCUUUUAAAAUGCUAAUUGACUACACCCAAAUUUCAAACUCUAUUAAAACCCUAAUUUGACUAUCAUUUUCCUAUCAAAAUUUACACGUAAUCAUGUUUUCAAGGAUUACUAAUCUGAACGAUUUUACACACAAGCCUAGCCCCUACGACUCCAACCAGUAAUAAAAUUGAUGAGAUUCCAAUAAUGAAGACAUGCAAUCUUUUAAAUACUAAACUGAUGACAUUGAAUAAGUCUAAGGAGCUUUAUCUAAAAUAGAAAAAUAAUAACGUUUGGGGUGUAUCAGAGAAAUAACACUCUUAGGUUGGUUUAAAAGCUGUUUAGGCGCUAUUUCCUUAGAUUCCAAGGAAGCGAGGACACUAAAUUAUUCUAAAUGUUUAGGCCAUCUCCAACCGAUGGCUGGCCAGAAGUCUAGUUUUAGCCCUCUGGCUCUCCAAGAUUCUCCAAGAUAUUAAUAUUUUAAUGAACAAUACAUAGCCAUAUUUGCCUCCAUCUCCAACCGAGGGCCAGAGGGCCAGAGGGCUCGUUUUAGCCCUGUCACAAAAAACCGUCUCCAACCGAAAGCCAAAGGGCCAUAGGGUCAAACAUAAUUUAUUAUUUAAAAACUACAACUUUAAUUCAACCCAUUUAAAAACCGUCUCCAUUUAAGUUUCAUGUUGUAUAAUUUUUAUGUUGGUUAAUGUUAUUUAAUGUUGUUUCAUGUUACUUAAUUUAAUUUAAUGUUGUAUAAUGGCUUAGGAAGUUAUAGAAAAAAAAUAUGAAACAAAUUUUGUGAAAUAGAAGUUAUAGGAGAAAAAUGGAAUUUAAAAAAAAAUAUGAAAUAAAUUUUGAGAAAUAGAAGUUAUAGGUGUCACAUCCCGACCCGGGACGGAUCAUUUCCUGGGCCCGCUCCACCACCGUAGCACGAUAUUGUCCGCUUUAGGUUUACCAUUCCCUCACGGUUUUGUUUUUGGGAACUCACGAGCAACUUCCCAGUAGAUCACUCAUCCUGGGAGUGCUCUGGCAUCCUUCUCGCUUAACUUCGGAGUUCUUACGGAACCCGAAGCCAGUGAGCUCCCAAAAGGCCUCGUGCUAGGUAGGGAUGGGAAUACACAUUUAAGGAUCACUACCCUGGGCGAUGUGGGAUGUUACAAUCCACCCCCCUUAGGGGCCCGACGUUCUCGUCAGCACACUUCCGGCCAAGGAUUGGUUCUGAUACCAAAUUGUCACAUCCCCGCCCGGGGCGGAUCAUUUCCCGAGCCCGCUCCACUAUCGUAGCACGAUAUUGUCCGCUUUAGGCUUACCAUUCCCUCACGGUUUUGUUUUUUGGAACUCACGAGCAACUUCCCAGUAGGUCACCCAUCAUGGGAGUGAUCUGGCAUCUUUCUCGCUUAACUUCGAAGUUCCUAUGAAACCCGAAGCCAGUGAGCUCCCAAAAGGCCUCGUGCUAGGUAGGGAUGGGAAUACACAUUUAAGGAUCACUCCCCUGGGCGAUGUGGGAUGUCACAAUAGGAAAAAAUAGAAGUUAUAUGAACAAUUUUGUAAAUAAAAAAUAAUAAUAAAACUGUAAAAAAAAAAAAAUCAAAUGCAACGGCUAGUAUCCGUUGCAUUUGAAUUUUUUCUUAAGAAAUCCUGUCGAUUAUAACCGACAGGAAUAACAAAACAUUAAAAAAAAAGUAGCCAGCCUUCCAGCCCUCUAGCCCUCUCCGAUUCCGUGGGGCCCUCCCAGAUUCCAGAGCCCUCUGGCCUAGCCCUUGGUUGGAGACGGUUUUCGGGCUAUUUUCAGCCCUCUGGCUCUUUGGACCAUUCGGUUGGAGAUGACCUUAUAUAUAAAGCCAACAACCCUUUUUGGGGUCACAAGCUUUACUAAAAUAUUUUAGACAAAAAUGCUCCCAAAACAAAAAAAUUCAAAAGUAGUCCAAAAUAAUGCACCAAAUAAUACAGGUGUAUUUUCGUCAUUUUAACAGUAUUUUUUAAAUAAUUAAUUCUUUUUGUACAUUUUUUUUAAUUAGUAUCUCACAAUAAGUUAGCAAUAAUGUGAUUCAAUCAGUUGUUCGUUAAAUAUUAUUUUCUCUAUUUUUAAACACGUUCAAAACAUCUUAAGAGACCUGUAAUGACGGUUAUAAAAAAAGUCUUUCCCACGCGCAUAAUGAUGUGAUUAAAUUAUUUGUCAAAUGAUUAUUUUUUUUCUUUUCUAACAUAUGAUAUUAUCUAUACUAAGGGGAAGCGGGUGAGCUUGACCUCACAAUGGGUUAGUAAUAAUGUGAUUCAAUCAAUUGUUUAUUAAAUAUUAUUUUCUCUAUUCUUAAUGUAAAUUCAAUAGAAUGUAAAUUGAAAAAUCGAUUUUAUUAUGUGAAUUCAAUUGCUUUGAUUGGUUUGUGAGGGGUUUUUUCUAGCAUGAUCUAAGAUUAUUAAUUUACUUCAAAUAUUUAACUUUCCUUUUGUCAAUUCACGCAUAUAAAUACAUUUAAAACGUAUAAAUCGCGCGUAGCACGCUGUGAUUCAAAACGUGAGCAUGAAGGCUAGUUAAAAACCUAAGCUAUCUUGAAGUGGGUUAAUUAUCUGUUAGGUCCAAGUUCGAGUUAUGCAGCCACCUUCUUAGGAUUAGGAUGAAAGGCAUGAACAAGGAUUGUCUGCCCUCCACUUCCGGUGCCCUACCCGUGCCCUCCUGUUUUGUAUGGUCACGGUUAAGCCACGUCAACACUUUAUAUUUUUUUUAUAGAUAUAAUAAGACAAAAAUAAAUAGUAAUAUAAAAUGUUGACGUGACUUAACCGUGACCACAAAAACAGGAGGGCACGGAGAGGGCACCGGAAGUGGAGACCAAACAAUCCUUGUCCAAAAGGCAUGUCAUAGACACGUGUGCUUCGACAGUCAUAAACUAUAUUUUCAUCCUUAUUUUUUCGGUUCGAUCAAAAUUAUGCCGAUUCUCCUACAUCACAUUAAUAACUUUUAUUUUAAUUCCUAUAAUUAUUGUACCAUUUUUUUCUAUCAAAUAUAAUGGGUUCUUUAGAUAUAAACCCUUGAAACCCCUAUUUUCCAAAUAAAAACCCACCUAAAUUUAAACAUUCAAAUAAAACCCAAAUUUCAAAUAGACCGCCAUGUAGACAAAUAUAUAACCAACUAUUACAAUACAUUUACAACUUAUUAUGCAAAAUCCUAAUUUGGUCAAUAAAUAUUAUUAGUUAUCCUAAUUAUGAUGAGCAAUUAAAUUCAUAUGGAUAUUUUACCUUUCUUGUAUCAUAAAUAUUAGUAAAAUAUAUAAAUUAAUUUAUCAAAUAAAAAAAAAGACAUAUCUUGUACGGACAAAAUAAUAUUGUUUGAAUCAUGUAAUUACCUACAUACAAAUUAAUUUACCUACUUAUAAAAUAUUGUACUAAUUUACCUGCAUUUUGAAUCAUGUAAUUACCUACAUACAUAUAUUAUACUAAUUUACCUACAUAUAAAAUAUUAUACUAAUUUACCUAUUCCAAAAAAAAAUAAAAAUUAGUGAUAUUAGAUAAUGUUCGAAUGUUGUGGGUUUGUGCUUGCAGGCAAUUAAAUAAACUUUUAAUCUAAUGCACAUAAAUUAUGUAGGUAAAUUAGGUCAUUUUGGAAGUGAAUUGGACCCUUUAAAUUUUGGUUCGAUGGAAUAGGUAAAUUAGACUAUUUUGUAGGUAAAAAUUGCGUGGAACAUAUAACCUUUGUUUUGUGGAUUAGGGACUAGAGUAUUAGCUGAAGCUGUUGUAGGUUUAUUGUUGUGUUGGUAGGUAAAUUAACUUAUAUAUUUAAUGCACAAAAUUAUGAAAUUAGUAUUAUUAUUGAGUAUAACAAUUUGAAAGGUAAUACAUUGAAUAUACAAUGAAUGACAUGAAUUAUUUUGUAAAAUAUAUAAAAUUAAUUAAAUAGAUGUAACAAGUAACUGAUCCAAAAAUCAUAUCCAAGUAUUAAUAGGGGCAGUUUAGGCAUUCAAAAAAUGCACAAUUUGAAAAGUCAAACUUAGUUAAAGAAUUUGUUUAGUUGAAGGCUACUAAAUGAGCUUUAUUCAAGAAAUGAGAUGGAUUUUAGUAGAGGAAAAUAUAGUUUCAAGGGGUAAUAUCAAAUUUUCAGAGAACAUUUAUAAUGAGUUCUAGAUAAAGUAGUAUUAUUCUUAGAAUAUAAUAAGAAUUUGAAUGGAGUACUGUGCAUGCACCCUUGCAUUGAGAAACAUACUUAUAUCAUGAUAGUCGGACAAAAAUUCAACCAAUAGGGCAUGUUUGCUGGACUGGAUUAGAACUAUGAUUGCGCUAUUUAACACCAAUCCCAGUCUAGAACAAAGAUGAGUUUAAAUAACAAUCGGAUAAGCAGGAUUAAACCUUUCUUAAGUGGGCAUAAUUAGAUUGAUCAAAGUUGAGGAGUUAGAUGCAUUAUGUUUGCUUUAUCAGACGUUCUAGACUACUACCAAAAUGUAGCUAGAAAUGUGGAGAAGAGAUUCAUACCAAGUGGGGACCGAGUGAUGGCCGGAGUUGGCCGGAAAAUGACCUGAAAGAUGGCCAAACGACCACGGUUUAUCACCGGAAUCUGAGGAAGUCUCCCCGACCUUUUUCUUCGUAGUUCGACGACCAAAGCACAUAGAUGCAAUCAUAAAUGAAUUAUGAGGAUAAAAGAGGGAGGUUUAGAGUGUUAUCGGAGCUUACCCACGUCGGAUGUGAUACAAACUCGCCGGAGUUUGUUUAGGCACGAAUAUGCACAGUGGCAGUGCCACUGUUGGAGUAUCACGCCUUCAGGUUCUGAUUUCAAUGUCUCCACGCUCAGGUGGUAUGGGUUGUGGUUGGUGAGUGGGUGUGUGUGCGUGUUCGACGGGAAGAGGAGAGAAUAGAGAGAGAGACUUGGGGUAAAAAAGAGGAAAAAGGAAGAGAGAGUGAGGGAGGGAAAGAGUGAGACCGAGAGAGAGAAAUGAAGGGCUUGGACCCGGGGGACAACAAACAAAGGUGGGCCCCUUGGCACACCUAUUAAGACCCAACAACAAUUUUAAAAGCAAAAUAAACUCAAACUUAGUGAAAAUACAAUUUAAAUUGGGGUUGGGUGUAACACUUUAAAUUUUGGUUCGAUGGAAUAGGUAAAUUAGACUAUUUUGUAGGUAACAAGUGGCGCAUAACAUAUAACCUUUGUUUUGUGGAUUAGGGACUAGAAUAUUAGUCGAAGCUGUUUUAGGUUUAUUGUUGUGUUGGUAGGUAAAUUAACUUAUAUAUUUAAUGCACAAAAUUGUGAAAUUAGUAUUAUUAUUGAGUAUAACAAUUUGAAAGGUAAUACAUUGAAUAUACAAUGAAUGACAUGAAUUAUUUUGUAAAAUAUAUAAAAUUAAUUAAAUAGAUGUAACAAGUAACUGAUCCAAAAAUCAUAUCCAAGUAUUAAUAGGGGCAGUUUAGGCAUUCAAAAAAUGCACAAUUUGAAAAGUCAAACUUAGUUAAAGAAUUUGUUUAGUUGAAGGCUACUAAAUGGGCUUUAUUCAAGAAAACAAAAUGAGAUGGAUUUUAGUAGAGGAAAAUAUAGUUUCAAGGGGUAAUAUCAAAAUUUCAGAGAACAUUUAUAAUGAGUUAUAGAUAAAGUAGUAUUAUUCUUAGAAUAUAAUAAGAAUUUGAAUGGAGUACUGUGCAUGCACCCUUGCAUUGAGAAACAUACUUAUAUCAUGUUAGUCAGACAAAAAUUCAACCAACAGGGCAUGUUUGCUCGACUGGAUUAGAACUGUGAUUGCGCUAUUUAACACCAAUCCCAGUCUAGAACAAAGAUGGGUUUAAAUAACAAUCGGAUAAGCAGGAUUAAACCUUUCUUAAGUGGGCAUAAUUAGAUUGAUCAAAGUUGAGGAGUUAGAGAUGCAUUAUGUUUGCUUUAUCAGACGUUCUAAUCAUUUUCAAUCAAAUUAGACACUCGCAAAUUUUUUUUUGCUCUUCGGUUGGUUUUAGAAAAAUACUUCCUUGAACAUAUUUUCCUCCACUAUGUUGGAUUAUAUAUGACAUUAAGUCAAUAUAAAUAAGCCACAAUAAUUCUUUAUAUAUAGUACAUUUGUAUCAUCUCUCUAAUAAAGAUGAAACUCACAUAUUGGUGAGUCCUAUCUUUAUUAGUAAUGAUACAAAUAUGAUAUAAAAAUGUGAUAAGUGUAGCAUCGAAUCUAAAAUUUCUCACAUACAAAUAAAGAUCGUAGUACUAACGGGGAACUGACAAGUUCACUGUUUUUUAUUUUUUAAUUUAAAAAAGGCUUAUUAUAUUAACAUCCCACAAAUUGUUGAAUAAAUCACACAUAUUUAAUACACCCCACAUUUGCUUUUUCACUUAAAAAUUAUCUUAAUACACCCCCACAUACUUUCCCAUAAUACCCCCACACACCACAUUCUCAAUAUACACCCUAUAUUUUGUACAUACACCCCACAUUUUCUAUACACUCCACAUUUCUCAAAUCUUGUAACACUCAUUUUUAUUUUUCAGGGAUUGAAUCUAACCAUUUGAAAGUAUAGUUUGCCGAAUGAUUUUAAAAUGAUGAUUUGAAAUCAUCUUAGUAUAGUUUGCAUGUCUACCUUCGUUAAGUAGGGUAACAUCAGCAAUGGCUUCAUUGCUAGGUUUAACUUCGUGGUAUGCAAUUUUUGUUUUGACUUUCAUGAACUUCAUUUCUGCAAUGCGGAGCACUUGGAAAACAUUGGUAUCCAUUACUUCCAAACACUGAGAAAUUGGAGAAAAAAAUUCUUGUACGGACAAAGGUAAGGAGAUUUCAUGUAAACUCUCAUUGGUAUCCUUCCCCAAACAAUUUGACUAUAAAUGGUGAUUACAGAUUAUAAAUGCUAAGGUUUUACAAAUGAUUUGAGCUUUAAUGCUGGUGAAAUAACUUCGCUGCGUCUGCAUAGAUAAAUUCUCGCUCUUGGAUUCGAUGAGCAAUUCAUCUGGAUGUGAGAAUAUUAUUUUGAUAGUUGAGAAGAUAAAUAAUAAGCUAAAAGUGAUUUGGGGUGUAUUUAGAUUUUUUUUUUUAAAAAAAAAACCUAAUAAAGGUCAAAAUUGUCAUUACAUAGUGGGUUAAAUAAGUCAAUUAAUAUUAAAUUUUUAAUGUGGAAUGCAUUCAACAUUUUGUAGAAUGCUAAUAUAAAAAACCUUUAAAAAAUAAUGCGUGUUUAUCAUUUCUGUUUGGUGAUCGCCAAUUAUUAGGCAAUGACAAGCACUCUUGUCUGCCUUCCGUCUCUUUCACUAAAAAUGGCGCCAACAUUUUUAGUCAAACAAUCAAUUUGUUCUUUCAAGUAAUAUGAAUUAUUUUCCUUCUUACUUCCUGCAUGACAUUACUUAAAUUUGUUAAUAUUUCUCAAUUUACACCCUCACAAACUUAACCUCUGCUUGUAUUUUCGAUCUUUUUUUUAAUGAGAUGUAUAUAGAAAAUGGGAGAAAAAAAUUCAAUUUGGUAACAAACGCAGUGCACUUUGAAAAAGUAAAAUUUCUUUUUUUUUUAAUGAGAUGUAUAUAGAAAAUGGGAGAAAAAAUAUAUUUUGUGGGGCUUAAUUUGUCACUCGGUUAAGCUGGGUGGCACUAAAACUCUACUCAAAACAUGCCUAAAGCAAUAAAUAUAAGGUGUCACUUUUUUAUAUAGGUACAAAUGUUAAAGAGAUUAAAUUUGGAGAUAUAAUUUACAAUUUUUUAUAUAGGUACAAAUGCUACAGAGACUAAAUUUGGAGAUAUAAUUUACAAACUAAAUGAUGUAUCAUCAAUAAAAAUAAGCACGUUUAUCAACGUUGAAGUAAUAUAAACUUCCAUAUCUUUUAGUUUACAAGACUUUGUCUACAAAUUUGGUCUCUCUAGCAUUACCCUUUUGUCAAUUUAAAGGUGACAGAAUUUCGAUACCACAAAUUGGUCAUUUCAAUGAGAGUUCAAUGUAAUUCUCAAAAUGGCUCUCAAAUUUAUUUUGCGAAUUUCUAUCUUUUUGAAACUCUUCUAAUUGCAACCAAUCUCCUGAUUUUUAUCCCUUGAUUUGCGUGCAUUAAAGGAAGAAUGACACUCCUUAUGUGCUUGAAUUUGGACCCAACUAAUUUACUAUCUAGUCUAGUGACUUGCAUGAACGUUGAUACGUAUUUCACAAGAAUAGACAAUUUUCAAUUUACCCCAAAGCGUGAAAUUAAAAUUUCAUCACUUGCACAUUUCGUUGUAUCACAGUUGUCUCAUCGUCUCAUAUUUCUACUUUGAAUCUAAACUCUAAACCACAGAUGCACUAGAAACUAAUAUAGUCAAACUUAUACAAUGACAUCAUAUUUGGAUCUUACAUUGUAUACGAGGCAUAUGUGCAUACGCACAUAUGUACAUUUCGAUCCAGUAUAUGGACCUAUCUAGUGACACUGUAGAAGCAGUUCGAAGUUCUAUAACGAAGUUUAGGACUUGCUUGUUUCGCUGAAAAAAAUUUGAAGGGUGCAGCCUUAAACGACACUAAAGUGAACCAAAGGCACUUCUGAACCAAAGGCAAAAAUAUCACUUUCUAAACCAAAGACACAAAGAGGUGGCGUUCAAGAGCAAGCAAGGUUGGAAAGAGCUUUAAGGAUUAAUUUCGAAGAUGUAAAUGAAAACUUCAUCAAGUGUUACUAUCUGAAGGUAACAAAAGCCUCGCACCAAAACAAGAGGAACUCAUCAAGACUUUUCUUAUGGCCUAUGCUCGUUUGUUGGUUGUUUCCUAAGAUUCUAAUAUGACUUUGAUUUUAAUUUGAUGCAAUAUAUUCAUUCAUGUUUAAUAGAGCACUAGAUAGCUCUAAGAAACCAAUUUAUAGUUCAAGGCUUUAUUCAUGUGUGUAUUUUCAAGGGAAAAAAAAAAUCUAUUAAAAACAUAGACAUCUGUGGCUAGUUCAGUCCUAACAUGUAUACCCAAAACAAAUUACUAACAAAAAGAUUGCUUGCCUUUUCCUUUAUUCAAUGGAAGAACCGAAGAACGAAAAAACUAAUGAUUUACGUACGAGGGAUGACUACCAUGUUGAAAGAUCAACACCAGCCCAAAGAAUAAGGGCUCAGACCAUGAAAAUUAAUUAGCACUUGGGCUAGAAAAAGUCUAGAAGAAUGGUGAGGUUUCUACGUACGAACAUGCAAGAUUAGUGUAAUUAAUUAUAAACAACUCUAGCAAAGGAAGUUAGUGGAAUAAUCAAGCAUGAUGUUCCCAUGCUCCUCCAAAGUUCCAACUAGGCCCUAUAAAAGGAGAAAGCAUCCAAUCCAUUUGUAUCAAAUAAGCAAGCAAGCAAAUAACCAAGAAGUGAGAAGCAAGAAAUGAGGGUGGUGAGUCAUCUAGAGUUUGUCUCUAGAAAACAAGAGUGUCGUAGAUUUUAAAAUUAUCUCUAAUAUUGCGUCUUUGAGAGUUUUUGUGUUGUAAUAUUUGGGAGAGCAAUAAAAAUAAUUUGUUUACUUGUUUUGUUUGUCCGUGUACUAUAAUAUUUGUGAAUACGUAUCCAUGCACAAACUUCCAAGGUCAUGAGAGUUGAACCUAGCUAGAUGUUCCACUAAAAGAAUGCUCGGCCUACAUAUGCGAAAGGAACAUUUCCGAUCAUCCAACUUGUAAAGAAAUUGAGAGGUGCCAAAAACUCUUAAAAUUUUAUCCACACACAUACUUAACCAAAAACACUAAAUUAUGGUAAUGUGACCGUCAGCAAAGCUAGACACAGAAGAUAUCCAGCCCUUUUAUUCAUCAGUCUUGGAUACAAACAUGAUACAAACAUUCAUCUCUUUAUUUUAAUUACCAAAAACAUGAUACAAACAUUCAUCUCUUUAUUUUACCAAAUCAAGUUGAGAGGUUUGGCCUGGGCUCGCCACGUUGUGGUAGUUGACGGACUGGUGUCGGCCACCACGGAAGCACAAAUGGAAAGAGGUGCAAACAACAGAUUGUCUGAUUUGUAGACACCUUUGACAUCUCUCUUGUACGAGUAUUGCACCUGAUAACGUCUUUCUUGUUCCAGUCUCUGGUACUAUCUAUAACCAGAUACACCAAAUCCUCAGUAUUCGGGUCGAAAACAACCGCUCUAAUAUGAUUUAUAUUUGGACUAAUCACAACCAUUUCUUCAUCCCCCAAGUAUACGCUCUUAUAACGUCUCACACACAAACUGCCUGCUCCACCGUGGAUCAUGACCGUCUGAUCACCUACCUUUGCUUCAUACACCUCCCAAAUAGACAGAGUGCGAGUAGGAGAGUAGUACUCGCACAUCCACUGACGCCCGUCAAACGUAACUAGGGAAUCCAUUAAACCGGAAUCCCACUCGCCACACUCACUGAAAAAGCAUUUAUAAUGAGUUCUAGUAUUAUCACUGUUGUCGAUCAUGAACGGAUCAAACCCAAUAAGAAACUCUCCUCCACCGCCCAGCCAAUACAACAUUUUGUUGGAAGCAACGCCAAUACUCUCUCUACACAGGUCUCCUACCGCGAUGGCGGAUGGGGAUGACAAAACGAACUCCCUCCAUUCACCGGUCUCCGAAAAGAAGAUCUGUGCUUCGAUUUCGCAGGAAACUACAUCAUCAUCGUCAUCAUCAUCAACACGAGGAUCAAUUAAUCUCACAACCCUGAACUUAUACUCCGCAUUAAGCUGGAUGAUGUCCCCUUGCUGAUCAUCUUUCUUAUAGUCAUAGAAGGGAAGAUCGCAGGUGAACCCCACCGUUACAUAACCGUAGACUUGAGGUGGGGGAGGAAGAGGAACCCACUGGACUGUGUGUGGAUUGCAGAUGUAGUAAUCGCGCUGACUAUACUCGCUUGCGCAGCACAAAACUAAGUCGUUGUAGGCACCUACCACAAUUGGCUCUUGUUUCAAACCGUGGAUGCUCACAAGCCCUUUGAACAACUGAGCUAGGGGCCUAGAGGAUGGUGAAACUCUACUAAGGAAUUCCUCCCCUUGUAUGCUUAUGGCAGAACCUGUUGGCUUUUUCUUACGAUUCCUUUGAACACAUAGAAAAAGGCGGAUAAAAUGAGGAUCUGAUAGGAGAGUGCACCAACGCUUGGAAACGAGCUUGCAUUGAGAAACGGACUUAAAACAAGGGAGUCUACAAAGGAUUUCAACUAAUAAAGACUCUGGCAGAUCAUCAAUAUUUCUUGAUGAUGGCCUGGUUGCUGUUGGUGUUGAAAAUAUUUUAUGUCUUUUAGGGUGAUGAAUAUGAUCAUCAGAGGCCGAGGCCGGUGGAGGUGGUGCUGCUGCUGGGUAUGACUGUGUUUUUGUACUGCUGCGGGGUCUUUUCCUAGCUAUAAUAGUAUGAUCAUGACUUAGAACUCUCAUGGCGACCGCCAUGAAUCUGAUCAGAUGAAAGAAAGGAGAAUCGAACUGAAGUGGGAGAGAAAUACAAGCAUGGCUAGGCGCAAUUGGAUCAUAGGAAUGGCAUGUAAUUUUAUAGCCACGCAACGCACCAUCCAUAUUCCUUAACCUCCUACGAAUAGGAAUAGGAAAAGUAAUAAUUCUAGGAUUAGGAAUCCUAACCUUAAUAGGAAUAGGAAAAGUAAUAAUUCUAGGAUUAGGAAUCCUAACCCUAAUGAAAAUAUAUUAGGAAUUUAGGAACAGAAACGGGGAAAUAAAUAAUGGGGGUUUUUUUUUUUGGAUAGCAAAUAAUGAAUAUAUGAUAGUACAUACUUGCUGCUUAGUUCCGCUCGUUCCAUUGCAUUCCCGAAAUCCAAUCGUGCUCAAAAAUAUCUUAUAAGGACAUGUGUCAGGAUGCUGCAAUGUGAGUGGUUAAAGUUUUUAUUGAAAAUCUAAAUAUGAAUUUUUAAUAAAUAGUGACACGUGACGUGAUAUAUGUACGGUUUUUUACAAAUCAUGAUAUUAUCAAAAUGUUUUUUGUAAUUACUAUUUUGAAACUUCAUAACUUAUUUUGAAAAUAACUUUAAAUCUAAUGGGUGUAAAAUUUAUCCUUAGUUAGCCCCACUCUUAACAUUUGUGUUUUUGGAAUGAUUUAUUUUAUUUUAGGUGAAGUAUCUUUACGCAUGGUGUCCAUUCACGUUGCAAGUAGAUUGGGUUUUAGAAAUAUGUUUUCCGAAAUUUUAUGGGCGCCAUUGACUAUCCAGAAGAUCAAUAAUUAAAAAAGUAAACAAGAUCAAUUUCAUAAGCUAAAAUUUCACUAUUUACAAAAAUACAUUAAAUAAAAAUAUACGAAUUAGUUGUGUCACCAUCAUCUUGUUCCUCAAGAUAAGAAAAUUUGAUUCAGUAUGGAAUCAACCAUCUAAGGGUUUUACCUGAGCGGCAAUUAAUUACGAAAUAUCUGCUAAUUAUAUGCAAGCAUGCACAAAAUAUCACAAAACUUGUCAGCUAAAAACCAUUAAGAGCACAUUAAUCCAUUUCAGUCUAACAUCCUGUAAGUUCAAAAGGACGGAUGUAUGUUUAGUAAUCAAAACCUAAUUAAUCAUAUUCCCUGCAAAAGCUCAAACAACAAAUUCUGGGCAUUGAAGGGUGAACUAUAACACCUUCGAGGCUAAUGCGCCACCUCGUUGCAGAUCUCCACGCCGAAAAGCCUGAAACGUUUCUUUUGAUCAGCAAGGAUUCCUUCAGCUUCAUUCAUAUUUUGGCUUACAGCUUCAAGUUUACAGUUAUCAUAUUGAUAAUUUUUAGCAUCAUUCUCAACCAAGCAGCUAACAUCUUCGCUUUCGACGCCAUCCCAGUUAACUUUAACCAUGUAAAAUGUUUGAGGCUCCUUGUUACCAUUGUCCCCCAGUUGCUUGUACUGGCAUUGGAAGAAUGUAAGAAUGUCUUUUGCCUUCAAAUGGUGCGUCUUUACGAACCGACUCCAACCCUUGGUGAACACAAAACUCCUGCUACUCUUCCAAUAACAGUACCGGAAAGUCCACGACCUCAUCAUAUUAUCAUAAAACACUAGCUGGCUGGAGCAACUCUCGACCUUCUGACUUGUGGCUUCAGAAAUGCUGGGAAAGCACCGUUUGGCAUUGCUAACCGGUAUCACAAGUCUAUUCAGCUUACCAACAUCACUUGGUGUCAGCUCUUUUUGGAAAAGAAGUCGGUUCAACAUCUUUCCAUUUCCGUUGUUAUGCACCCUAGCCAAGCUGCCAAAUUGGAUAUCACUCCUCAAACUCUCCCUUGCAGCGUGACUCCUUCGAUAUUCUAAGAACUCGGCCUGGUAGGAACCAUCCUUGAUCAUUCUCAACACAGCUUCUUUAGAGUACUGAUUUUGAAAGUGUGGCUCUUCAAAGGUGAAUUUGGUCCAUGGAAAGUUGCGAUGGCAAUCGCAACCACGAAGCUUGAUUGCAGCGCUAUCAUAAGCCAUAGCUGCUUCGUUCUCAGAGCUGAACGUGCCAAGCCAAACCCUUUCGUGAUUGGCAUAUAUCUGGGCACCCCAAUGCCCAUUUGGCUGCUCAACAACUCCUUUGAACCUUUUCGAUACACGCCUACUAGCACCAUCUGAUGAGUCAUUCGUAGCAAGGCUUGGACCGCAAACUUCUCCAGUCUUACAUUUCACUCCUUUGUUUGAGACCGUGCUUGACAUGCCCUCUUCCAUAACGCUUCUGCAGUAAUACCUAAUAGGAAAUUUUCAAAACGGAAGGCAAAAAAUGUAUGAACGAAUUAUUAAUGUUCAUAAUUAAUUAGCACAAUUUUAUGUUCACUAAUUAGCUCACAUUGAGGGUCUUUGAUAAGAUAAGACUCCAGAAUUGAAUCGACUGUAUAAAAGUAUUGGUAGAAGAGUAAACAGAUAAAAAAAUUUGAAAAAAAUUAAAGCCUUUCUCUUUUUUUUUUUGGAUUGAAAAAGAUCAUAUAUUGAUUGAGCAUCCAAAACAGACAAUCGCAUCUUGUAAAUUUCAUAUUAAAUAGCUUACUUUAAAAACAGAAAAACAGGGACACAAAAACUUGAAUUAUGUAAACUAGUUUUGAUUAGGAAGAAGUACUUAUUAGUAAAAAGCUAUAGUAAUUGUUCCUUCAUAACAAGUCAACCAAAAAAAAGAGAAUUCUCACGGCACCCGUCACUUAUUAACACCAAUUUACGCCAAGGACUCAAAAAGUAUCUAUAGUUACUACUCAUUCAUACAAUUUUUUUUAAGAAAAAAAAAAUCACAUAGCACGCGUCAUUUAUUAACACGUAAACAAUUUAUGAAAUCUUCUUCAACGACUCAAAUUUAGUAUCAAAUCAAUUUCUCGUACAUAAAAUUCAAGUCCAGAAAAAAAAGAAAUGAAAAAAAAGAUAGAAUCUCGUGGCACACGUCGCUUAUUAACACGUAAACAAUUUAUGCUAAGGAUUUAAAAAGUAUCGGUAGGUACUACACCUUCAUAACAAUUCCAAAAAAAUAAAAGAGAAAGAAUCUCAUAACACACGUCGCUUAUUAGCACGUAAACAAUUUAUGAAAUCUUCUUCAAUGACUCAAAUUCAUUAUCAAAAUCAACUUCUCGUAAAUAAAAUUCAAGUUCUUCAUCAUCAACUAGUAAUUGCCGCGGCAGUUUCGCAAAUGAAAACCAUUAGUGAAAGAAACAAUUAAAUAAAACUACAUGAAGUGAAAUCUUUUAAGUAGAUAACGACUGUUACCUCGACGAGUAACCCGCUGCAAAUAAAUGGAAGCAGCAAAUCUGUUGCUCCUCCUGAAGCUAAAACAAGUUCCUCUCAGAGAAACAAAACAAAAACCAACAACAUAUAUAGAAGAACAUCAAAAACUCUAUUUGGGCCAGCCUAGAUAAAGCUAACACAAACCCUAGCUAUUUAAUACAUUCAUUCACCUUGGAAACAAAGAAAAAAUCUUAUCCAAAAAAGGGCAGUAAAUCAGAAUCCAGGAAAAUCUGGCAGUUGUAAAAGGUAAUUAAUGGCACCAGAAAAAGUUUAUAAAUUUCUGUCCAUAUUUGGCACUCAGCUGUGAUCCACAAGGGCUUACGUUUCCUCUUUCCACCUCCAGAUUUUACAACGAAACCCGGAUUUGAGUUGAAACCGGAAAAUUUGGCUGUCAUCAUCAAUGCACCCAAACAAAAGAAAAUCCAAUCAGCAAGUUCAAAUCGUUAUGAAUAUGAAAGAAAUUAAUUAUUGUCUAGGUUUUGAAGAAAAUAAUACUUUCUGAUGGUGUGGCAGACAUGGCCAAGCAAUUGGCUAAAAGAGUGUGCUACAUUUUUUUAGUGUGGCUGGAAUAUGGGCAGAUACACUAUUAUACAAGUAUCUCUUAACUUUUAUAAUGACAUAUAUCGUAUAUGCCUGUAUUCUGAAUACAUUAAAAAAUCUCUCGUUUGCAUGGUUUGUAUGGUAUAUAUUAUUUAAUUAUAAAAUUAUUAUGAUACAUAUAUGUAUGGUAUGUAUGUAUCAAUCUGUCUGGACAUUAAUUUGUUGCUUUUUGUAUCGUAAUCCUUCUGUCAUCCCCUUUUUGUAUGAUAAUCCUUCUUCUAUCAUGUCCCAAAAGAGGAGAAAAGGGAAGGUCCGAGGGUCUGCCUGGGAAAAUGCAAAAAAAAAAUAGAGAUAUAUAUAUAUACGGGAUAAAUAAAUAAAAUUCAAUGCUUAUUUUCUUGGAAGAAUGAAAGAAAGAAAGAAGAGUGCACCUGGAAAUUGGAAGCUGAUGAGAUUGUAGCUAUGUAGGCGGAAGAAGGAGAGAGAGAGAGAGAGAGAGAGAGAGAGGAUGGAAAUGGAGGGCAGCGGAGGUGGGCGGUGGGCGGCUGACAGAAAGAGACGUGAGCACGCAGCACCAUUCAACUCACUGCGUACUAGUCCAGUCUACUACUCUCCCUCAUCCAUUCAACUCACUUCAUACAGCAGCGUAUAUUUCUAGUCUUCUAUUUAUAGCUGACUACACUGUCUAUCUUCUUCCUCAACUAACAUACCUACUCCCCACUCUACUCUAGCUAAAGUUUAUUUUGUAUAGAAGGGAUUCGUAGCUCAACUUGUCAAGAGCAUGUACCAUCGAAUAUGAGGUCACAAAUAAAAUGUUCGCCUUAUGUAACUUAAGGUGUGUUUUUUUAAAUGUAAUAAGUGGCGGAUGCAUUGAGGGGUAGGGGACUUCUGUGAACGUCCAUGGAUACCAAGGUGCUGACCCUCCGAACUUCGGUGAAUGUCCAUGAAUACCUUGAGUGCUGCCCUUUUGAAUAUUAGAGUUGGCUUCAUACAUGCCCUUUUGAUAAAAUGUAUGAAAAAAGAGUGAAUGAAAUGAUGAUUUCAGUGAAUAACAAAGCAUUAUCAUUCUUGGACAAACAUAUUAAUGGGAUGCAAUGAUAUCAAACAUGGUUAGUGUGUUUAAGAUAAGUGUGUUUCUUUGUUAAGCAUUCAUAUGAGAACAACCUUAGAACAUGUUAGUUACCCUCGCAAAUGAGGCAUUAACAAGUGUGCAUUAUGCAUUUCCAAAUGACUUCAGGCAUACCAAGACUUGAUGAAAUGGUGAUAUGCAAGCUAUUUUUGGUAAAAAAAAAUUGCGCUACGCUCGUUAUUCUUAUUGACCCCCUUAAUAUUAUUUUCUGGAUCCGCCACUAAAUGUAAUCAAAAUAAAAAAUUACAUAUCGAUUACGGUUAUGAUGUGCUUACCAAUUUUAUGAGAAUCAAAACACAAAUAUAAUAUCCGAAAUGGGACUUUGAACCUAGAACAUCUUUCUAACAUUAGAACGAAGAGCACUACCCGACUAAGACCUAGUUGAUAACUUUUCUAACAACUACGAUGAAAAUAGGUGAUAUGCACGUAACUGUUGCAAAGAAGUUGUCAUCAUUUUUAAGAAAAAUUUACUCGCUUUUGUAUACAAACAAGAUAAACUUAACACAUUGGUGGUGUUGGUACUCAAAAGAAUGUAUAGACUAAUAUACAUCCACUCCAUUUGCACUUGCAGUGUGAACAAGUUUCCACAUAUGAACCUAUGUUCUGAACCAUGGGCCCUAUUGUCUAGAGGCCCAUACAAUCAAAGUCCAAUCAAGUCGGUCCAAGACCACUGCGGCUUAAACACCCAACCCGGCCCACUCACCCAUACGCGCCAUCGGAUCUUGCGGAGCAGUCCUCUCCGACUCGCAGCAACCGAAUCAAAGAUUCAGAGCUCUCUCUCUUCUGAUUUCGAAUCAAUGGCCAAGGAAGCUUACGCCGCACGAAACCCAGAUGAGGUUCACACAGACGUGCUCUCCAAUGCCAGACAAGCUUGCUAUAAGGUCCUAUUUCGCACUCAAUCUCUCUCCUCCGUUCUUUCUCUUCUGAAAUGUAAAUGUCGAGGAUUGAAAUUUGGGGUUUAAUCUGCAACUUGAUGUGCUUGAAAGGCACGGGACGCUUUCUAUGCGUGUGUGGAGAAAGAAUCGGACAAGAAGCAGACCGAAAUCGCAUCGAAAGGCCAGUUGUACGCAGCGGAAUGCAAAGCUUCGAGGGAGGAGUUUGUCAAACACUGCCGUACUUCUUGGGUAAAAUCUGAAAUCCCCAAUUCUCAAGUUUCAAUUUUUACUUCACAUUGUGGGAUUUUGGGUUUCAUGGAGCUCAAAGUUUUUGUUUUUAUUUAUUGGAUUUUUGUUAUUUAUUUAGUUUUAAUCUCUUGAGGGGUUUUGGAAAUGGUUUAGGUGAAGCAUUUUGAUGCGCUCGACUGCAAGAACAAGAGUCUGAAGAGGCUUUUGGAUGAUAAGGAUUCGAGGAGAGGUCCGUUGUCACUUCCAGAGCCUUACACUUACAAGCCUACCACCACUAGUUAAAACUUUUCAUGUCAAUUUUGGUUGAAUAAAUCAGUUUAAUGUGUUGUUGUACAGCAAUAGUAAUGUGGGAUUAAUGCCUAGAGCUUACUUCUGACGAGUAAAAGAUUCGUAUGAAGAAAAUGAGUAUCGGUUUCUGACUCCAUUUUCGUGGAUCACAUGUCAAAUGAUUACUGAAUACAUUUACGUGCAUCUGCACUUUCGUUUUAUGACAAUACUGCUUGAUACUAUAUUCUAUUGUGUCUCAUUGCUUCUAUGUUAUAAGUUACAACUUUACUAGGAAUACUUCGGUGGGAGUUGGAUUACAUUUACAUAAAAACUUAGGAUACCGAUAAUUGCAGUGAGUGGAACGUUUAUCCAUUUUCGCAGGGGUAUGAAGCUUGACUUGGCCCCUGAAGACUGAAGGAAUCAUCCUGAUCGGUUCCUGGGUUCUUGUUCAAUUCAUUAUCUGGUGGGAGGCGGAGAUCUAUACUGGUUUUGAGGCUUGCAGAGGGGUGGUACCACUUUUGGAAGUUGUCAGUUUUUGGUGUCCAUUUAUGUUUGAAUAAGAAACAUUGGAGAAGAAAGGUGUCUAUACCUGCCAAAAUGUGCUUUUCGCACAAUUUUAUUUUGUAUUAAUUUGAAUGCUUACGUAGUUGGAAUACUUCUCUGUGGUUCUUAAGUUUGAUGUUCUUUACACACCUAAGAAAUCUAGGCAAUCGGAAGAAUUAAGGCGGUAGCAUGUGGUCAAUCCCAGUGUUCUGAUCGAAGGUAUCCAUGGAGAGAAUGUAGAGAAUUCCAGAGCCUAGUCGGUAUGAGAAGCCGAGGAUUUGCUGAGCCAAAACAGUCAGUAAACUGGUUAUGAUAAGAAAACUUCAAUUUGUUUACAGGUUUUUGAGACUUGAAACUGGAGUGGAGAUGCUUUGCUUAGUUUCUCAAUAGGGAAACUGGAUGAUGUGAUUAGGAAUGCAGUAGAAAAUCCUUCAUACAUUCCUUCUGUUUUUCCCGCUUUUACAUGACAGGGUUUAGAUCUCGAUUUCUCGAGCUAGAGAUCAUGUGCUUGAUGGAUUCGAUUCUUACCUAUUGAACGUGAAAUUUUUUGCAUCUGCAUUUGGAAUGACUUUGUGAAACUGCAGAUCGUGCUUCUUGUUAGCGACAGUUGAUACAAGCAUAUCGAAUUCAUUGCUGUAGGUUACUGACAUGUUAUUUUUAGCUCUGGAACCACAGUUCAUAGGUUUGAAGAAUCCUGCAAGUUCAGAGAGUUUGCUUGUAUUGUUCCCCUUCAAUUUGGACGCAAGUUUGCGAAAAAAAAAAAUCGCAAAACGAACACGAUUAGGUUGUUUAGUAACUUGUUGAAUUUGAACUAAUCAAAAUCAAUUGGUUCUGGGAUUGAAUUGAAUUCGGAGCAGUUUUGUUCAGAUAGGUUAUCCGCAAUCUGAUGAAGGCCUGCACUUGCAGAUGGGUGCCACCUUUCUUUAUAUGAACGAAUUUCAUCUCAGUUUUUCUCUCUUCUAAGUAUAAGAAAAACAUCGGUAAGGUUGCGUGAUUAGGAAAGCUCUCGUAGUAGGUGGAACCAACGAAAGGUCAGAUAUGAUUAAAAUACAUGAGGUUUUAUGCUUUUGCAAAAAAUACUUUACAGAUGACGCGAUCGGGUAUCCUACCAAAUUUUUAUAAUCGUUUUCCUUUGCCUUGGCUGUCAUAUCUCUAUGCACUGCAAUCGCAUAUUCUGAAUAGAACAAUUCAGGGAAAAUCGUUUCUGAGUUUAUUAGUCUUGAAAAGGAACCACUAAUCUUAAUUUAAGCGCAAGUAAAAAUAUUGAGAGAUUUUUCAAUUUACUCAGAACACACGGCGGUACGUUAUAUGUUAUUAUACAGAAACAGAGAGAGCAACAUCUAAUCUUAAUUAAGUGCAAGUAAAAAUUAUGGUGUAUAGUCAACAGAGUUCUAAACAAUUGACACAUAUCCUUUUACUUUAUUAUUUUUUUUUUUAAUUGAAAAAAGUAACAUUUAAUUUUAAAGUUAGGUGAAAUGACAUAUGUCAAUUGAUUAGGUAUAUGGUGAGCAUUCACCAUAAUUAUGGUGGUGACAAAAAAUGGUUCUAUUUUUUUUUUCAUGUAUCCCUCUAUUUGUAUAAUGGCAUAUGGCGUAUGUGCUGGAAUUUCAAACACACUAAAAAAUCUCAUGUAAAUAUUAAACAAAUAUACUUUGGAAAAUGUAACAACAAUUUUCAAUGCCACAUUUUUAUUAUUUUUGGUUCCUGCAACAUCUUUUCUUAUUGGACAAGGAUUGUCUGCUCUCCACUUUCGGUGCCCUUUCUGUGCCCUCCUGUUUUGUGUAGUCACGGUUAAGCCACGUCAACAUUUUAUAUAUAUUUUUUUAUAGAUAUAAUAAAACAAAAAUGAAUAGUAAUAUAAAACGUUGACGUGACUUAACCGUGACCACACAAACAGGAGGGCAUAGAGAGGGCACCGGAAAUGGAGGGCAGACAAUCCUUGUCCUUUCUUAUUAGUUAUAUUUAUGAACUGUUUAAUCAUCCUGAAAUCAUAUUGUGCAAUCUCUUUGACUAGCUCAGUGGAGUUAUGGGCAAAAAUAGAUUAAUAAUAAUAAAAACAAUGUAAUAAUAAUUAUAUACCCUAAACCACAGUGAGGUGGUGGUAGUUCAAUUGUUGAAGAUGAAUUUUAAGCCCGUAUUUCACACAGCAAGUUUUGAGUUUGAUUCUUGAAACUAAUGAAUCACACGAUGGUGGCAGGGGAGAUAAUGUUUUUUUUUAAUUUUUUUGGCUCCUGAAAAAAUAAAUUAUCGUGGUGAAGUCAUUAACUGAUUCUUUUUGUUUUAGAGAAAUAAUUAAAUAAACCCUAAAAAAAUAUUAGGGAUUUAGAAAUGGAGGGUGAAUGGUUGAAUGAUGGGGUGGUGAAGAAUUGACAAAAAGUAGUGGACUACAUGUCUCUUAAUAUUCCCAUGUGCAUCAUCCAUGUAUGAAAUAUUGAAAAAAGAAUGCGAAGAAGAAUAUGUAAAUUGAAUAUUUUGGGCAGAUCUCGGAAGAUCAAGCAUGAAAGCUCUUUGAUACCAAUAUCUACCUCCAAAUCAAUAAGCCGGCUGUGGGCAUGCAUCUCUGUCGAUCUCGGUCUCGACAUAUUAAUAAACAAAAUAAGAAAAAAAGGAGGGUAGAAGAUGAAAAUGAGAGUGUGAAAAUUACUAUUUUUUUUAAGAGCUUGAUGUGAGAGCAAUGAGUCCUUACAGCUCGAGAGAUUCUUACGUUUGGAGGAAGAUUUAUAAACUAUGACUAGACAUGAUGAACGAUGAAGAGAUGAAGUUAUAUACUCAAUGACUUACGAAUAACGAGAUUAGUCAUAACUAAGUAUCGAAGUCAUAAAAAAUAUAUGAUGUAACUGUUCUCGUCAUACGAGUCAAACUACAUGUAACUUCCAACUACAUGUAAACUAACAAAUUAUACCGAAUCAAGACGAAUUGAUAAAGCCAUAUAAAAGAACAUGUUAUCUUGAACCUCUCCUCCUUUUUUUAAUAUUAGUUCUGUUUCAUUAGUCAUGGUGCCUUCUAACCUAACGAUAAUUAAUAAAUAAUCAAUACAAGUCUUUUUAAUUUUGAUUUAGCUAACAUAGGAUAGUAGAAUAAAGAAGGUAAGUAAAGGGUAAUAUAAUAUGUGUUUUUUUUAAUAAGAAGGGGAUGUGGCUUCGCCACGAUAAUCUACAUUUUUGAGAGCCAGAAGGACUCACAUAAAUAUUUUACCAUUUUUCUGGUCACUAUCGUGUUAUUCACUAGUGUCAAAUAUCAAAUCUAAGAUAUACCGUGUGAAACAUAGGCCUUAAAUUCGUCCCAACUAUUAGACCACCAUGUGAAGGUUAAUACAAUACGUGUGUUGUCCCUUGCCUUUUGUAAACAAUGUAUACCACCUCAACUCUACGAAUCACCCAAACGCAACUCUUUCUAAUCACAUAUGAUAACAUGAUUACGAAUCGAUUUCGAUUUGAACCGUCAAGUAAUUAUAUGUGCUGUAGUUCAUUAAGUUUGCUUUGUUUGUGUGUUAAGUUUCUUAUGCACCAAGUACUAGCGAGUUGAUAUGGAGAAAAACUUCAGUAUUACAAUAUGCGUCGUCAGACUAUCCUUAUAAAGGAAUGAAUCUUUUUGUAUUUAAGCACGAUUUAGUAUGUAAGAGUACAAUUUAUCAAUGUACAUAAUUUCACGUGUUGAAUGAGUAUUUGACAAAUCACAUAAUCAGACUAUCCUAUUAAAACAUUACAUUCAAUUAGUCAAAUAGUGUUAAAAUCAUAAAGAAUGAUUGGACUCCCAUGAUAACUUAUCAUAUACGUUUCGAGUUAAAAUCAUCCAUAGAAAUAAGGAGAAAAUUGUUGACUCAAGAGAAGAGAAGAAAAAUUCAUACGUGCAAAAGAAGGGUAAAAUCUGAGUCCAAGUUGUCUAGCAAUCAUCAUCGCAACGAUUGAAGGAGAUGGGAUUAGAAAGAUGGGAUGAAACAACAAGAGUUAGGUACCACUUAAACCUAACAUCCAAGAGACUGAUGGAUCCUUCCAAGUUCCAACAACUAAGAACAAAAUUAGAGUUCAUGGGUGGGUAAGUUGCAUUGAUUAUUUUUUCAUGCCAAAUUGUAUAUUUUUUUUUAGACAAAUCACAGUUUAGUGCGUUGCUAGAGAAAAUUUCUCUAACAUAUAAAGGAACAAACCAUAAUUUUGGUCAUGUUGUCUAAUCAAUUUUAAGUACGACUAGUGUAUUAAGUCAACUUUCACAUUAAACGAGAACGUAAAGUCAUGUAGAAUAAAAAUCUCAUACUUUUAUAAGACGUAUGCACACCUCUCGCCAAACUUUUCUUUAAAUUGUCAUACACAAGGUGAUCAGGCUUACCAAGUGAAAUGUCUUUGUCGUAAAAUGGAAGAAAAAUAUAACACUCAGUGGACCUAAAAUCUAAAAGAACUUUCAACAAACAAAACCCGAAAAAGAAAAAGUCAUCAAAGCUUAGCCUAACUGCUGCCCAUUCGGUUUCGAUAAAAUACUCCUCCUUAAUAAUUCUCUCAUCAUUAUUAAACCCUAGUCAUUUCAUUUCCAACCUAUAAUCAUGAUUUUUCAAGAAUCAAGAUAAACAUGCUCGAUAACUUUGAAAUAUGAAAUAUCUCGAAACAUACCAGAAAUUCACAAGUACAUUGGAGAAGAAUCGAGAUCCUCUCUAGAAUUUUUGUGUCAGGAGUUCAAACAUCAAGAGAUUCGAGACAUUGAAGAGAGAGAUCCAGACUUUUGGUUUGUGCGAGGUAGCCAGUGUGAUGAGCUAAUGUGAUGAGUAGUUCAGUUCUCAUAGUCUUUGAAUUCCAGACACAAAAACACUGAGAGAGUCUCAAUUCAUUGCGAACCAAAUUACACUAGAAAAUAAUAAUUUUCUUCAGAUAAAACAACAAAAGAAAAGAUUAAAUCAAGGGAAAAAAAAAACAAAGAGACCCCAAAAACAUCUUUUUGUAAAAAGGGGUUUUAUGGAGGAUCUGGUGGUGCGGUUGAGUUAGCUUUUAGCCAAAGUCUACGCAAAUACGGCGUCGUUGGAAAAGCACCACCCUUGAUGCCUUAUUUUCGUAGACUUUAGACGGCCUUGGAGUCCACGUCACUAUGUAUGUUCAUUUGUCGCCAGAAAGUAAAUCCAAAGCCAAAAGGUCAGUCAGGGCUUGGAGACGGAGGUGGCGUCUUUGACGGAACCGUCAACCCCGCCGUUGCCCAUGGUGGCUGACUGGACUGUCAGCACGGACAUGCUGGGAGAGGAGGGCCCGUCACCGCCGUUGGACGGGACAACUUGGUGGUUGUUGCUGUUGUUGUGGAGGAGGGGGUUCCUGGAGUGACAUGUGGCGGUGGAGAUGGCGGUGGCCAACGAAAUCGGCAUGAGGCAGAGGCCUUUUCCCUGGAGGUACUGCAUGGCGGAGCCCAUGUCUUUCUCCAUGAGCUUGGCGACUUGGUGUUCCGUCACCGUCAUGCUGUUGUCGUUGGAUGAGGAGGCCGUUUGGUUGCCGUUUGAGCUCCGUCCGCGGGUCCCGCCGUUGGCACUGGCUUGGAUACAGUCACCGCCACCCUACAGCGACGACCAAAGAUUAAAAUAUUAGUUGAUUUUUUCUUAAAGGUGUGAAAAGGAAAGGACAAAGGCCAAAAGAGAAAGACGAAUCUGAGAAAGUGGCACGCGUGCUGCUUUUUCUUUUGUCGUUUUGUAUGAAGGAGAAUAUGGGGUUGGUCAGAGGAAAUUUUUAGUUGUGACGGAAACGCGUGUUUUAAUAGAAGUGGUGAGAAAUUUUAUUUUUUAAGUUAUUAACAUUUUAACACAUAUAUCCCACCAUUUAUAUAGUAACAAAUGAUGUAUCACCGCGUGUACCGAUAAUAUUGAAAAAUCUCUUGUUGGUUUGGUACACUGCUGGGUGUAGGGUGGGUGAAAAUGGGGUGGUAUUGGUGGGUUUCUGCUUGGCCAAGAUACGUAUAAGGUCCAAGCGGUUUGCAAAAUGUUCUAAUCCGAGGACAUUCGUCAACUUUCAUUAAUUUCUUGCACAAAAUAUACACUCUCAUAACACAUUGUGUAAAUUUGACAGAUUUCUUACACAAAAGUGUUAAAGAGCGACGAAUGUCCUCGUCUUGCAAUUCGCAAACUACAAUAUCUCAAAUCAAUGCAGUUGAAAAUAUAGAAACGAAAAUGGCACAAGACUUAUUCACACAAGUACGCCUUUAUGUUAGUACCCAAAUCAAUAAUGCAAUGUCAUAUGUUUAAAUUUUCUCAUAUAACAUCAAUGUGUUAUUAGUUUAUAAAUGUACUUGGUGUAGAUAAGUCGAGAUUUCAAAAGUAUACAUAAUGGUAUAUUAUGGGUGGGUUUAUUUUGAAUUGAAUUUACCUCAGAGGACAUAUCAGCAACAAGGGGAGCAACAGCAGCUGCACCGCCCAACCUGCUCAUGCUCAGAACCUUCAUAUUGUGGUGUGCCCAAAAAGCACAAUGCCAGUCAGUAAACAUGACUAAUUAACACAUUAAUUACUUAAUUAUCAUAUCCAGAUUCUAAUUUAGCAAACAAUAUCAAGUCAACCAACCAGGGAAUCUCUCUUUUUUCCUUUAAUUAAUCAAUAAUUAUACACUUAUGAGCACAUAAAAUAAUAAGUUAACUUAAAAGAUGAGAGCAGUACCUUGACUUGGAGCUGGAGGAAUUUUACAUAAUCGAUUAUCUCAUCCAGCAUUGAAGCUUUGUCUGCCUGUCAUUCCAAAACCCACAUCCAAUUCAUUAAAUUAUUAGAUCCCAUCUCAUAUGGAAAACAUAUAUGUAUACAUAUACACACACAUGGCAUAUAGAAAUAUACUAAACUAGUUUUAAACAACUGAUAGCGUGAGUGGUUUUAAUUGUUAGUUGUUAGGAAAUGAGGGGAAUCGUGGGGAUCGAGUCCGAACCAUAGUGCAUAUGCAUGAUUAACUUCCGUUUUUGCGGUAAAGAGCCAUUUGCACCCUAAACUGGUUUUACAAAUACUUAAAAGUAGUUACUUGCGACCCAAUAAGUAUAUGGUUAAGCUACAAGAAUAUAGGCUUUGCCAUGACAGUCUACCGUUUUGAAGGCUGGGAAUGCUCAAAGGGGCAUUUGAGCCUUUCCUGUCCACCAUCGUGUGAUUCACCAGCAUCAAGAAUCGAACCCAGAACGUGCCGCGCGGAAAACAAGCAUGGAAUUCAUCCUAAACCACUGAGUCACCCCAUGAUGGUUUUACUUAAUCAUUAGAUUAAAAAAUUAUUUAUACUAAUAUUUUCUUGAGUCAAUAUUAUUUACAAGAAUGCAAGUCUAACUAACUAGUAAAGUUUCCAAUACUCCAUUAGUUCAUUAUUAGCCUAACAAAUCGGCAUUUGGGUCGUCCGGAGUACCCCUUUUUCUCCUUUCUUUUGCGCACGGAAGGAUUAAUUACCAUUUUUUUGUUCAAAACAAAACCUCCUACUGAAUGGAAGACGAACACUUGUCUACCGAACGAGAAAUUUACCUACACUCGCUUUUUAAGCAUUCUAAGCUAAUAACAUACCAUAAGUCUAUAAUGUAUUUUUGCUUUUUCACUGUAAAAUUACUUUGAUAGACCGAUAUAGUGACAUAUUAACAAUGUGUUAUGCGUUAGAUAUUUUAUACUCAAUCUCAAUCAUUUAUUUUUUUCGUAUCACUUAACGCUAAUUGGCAUUGAAGAAAAAUUGCUAACAAUGAAACGCAAAUAUUUACAUUGUUUAAUCUGGAUUAACAGAUUAUGAUUGAGAAGUAAUUAAUCGGUUAAUUAAUUAAUUGAACUAAAUUACCUUGUUGGCAUUGGGAACGAGCUCCUGCAGAGCCUUCAUCCUCUCUGCAAUUCUCUCUCUCCGUAACUGCAAGUGCAACCCCAUUUCAGUAAGAAAUCAGAAUAACUGACGAAUAGAAACAAACAAAGAAUUGCAGCCGUUUCUGUUUGGUUGCGCAGAUAACAACGAAAAAAACUUUAAUGAAAAAUUUUUGGUACAAUUUAUUUUAACAAAAAAAUCAUAUUUUUACUUUAAAAAGUUAAUCAUAAUACUAUUUACUUUCUCUUUUAUUUUGUUCUUAUUUGUUCUUAUUUGUUCUUAUCGUUAAUACGGAAAGAUUCUUUUUCAUUAUUUUCCUAAAAACAAAAUUGACUGAAACGCACUCUUUCGGCUAUGCUGUGUGGGUCAGUGGCUUGACCUCUUCUCGCCCUGACUCUGGGCCUCGGUUGGACCGGCGCUGCCCCAGCCGAGCCACCCGCCGGAGCUUGGUUCAACGCCGCCCCUGCACCUCCGUAGUUCUGCGCUUGCAGCUGACCUCCCUGUGCAUAAUUCUCAAUCCGAAUUAAAACCAAUCGUGAUUAAUUAAAUUAAUAAUAAUAAUUAAAUAAAAUUAAGAGCAGGGGCAUGCCUGAGGGUGGUGAAAAUUUGGAGACUGAGAAUUCGCAGCUCCAUGCAGUGAUGCACCGAAGCCAUUGAACAGGGAUUGAACGGAAGAAGCCCCAUCGGCGCCCUGUAAAAUAACGUAUUUACAUUUAUGCCACUCCAUUAGUUCACCAUUGUAAAUUUACAUUUAUGCCUUCAGUUCCAGACACUGAGAGAUGGAGAGAGAUACUCACCACUUGAUUGGGGGAUUUGAAGGAGGAGCCGUCGCCGACGUCGUUGUUGGAGCGGCCAAAGUCGCCGUUGUUUCCCAAAGACAAUCCCGUGGGACCAAAGCCGGAGUCGGCAGCGCCUGAUCUGGACAUCAUGAGCUGGUGCUGGAGCAUCAUGGCGGCAGCAGCUGCGGCUGAUGCGGAGGCGGACUUGUUAGCGCCGGAACCGGCGCUGAUCUGCUGGCUGCGAAACUUGGCGGCGAGGGUGGCGGAGUCGUCGUAAGAGAAGACGACAUUGUCGGGGUUGGAGGAGAGCGGAGGCGGGGCAUCGUCGGCGGCAGAGGCCCAGGAGGGGCCGAGGGUGGAGAGCAUUUGCUCGAGGAAGUCGUCGUGGGUGGCGGAGUCGAAGUGGGAGGCGGAGGGGGUUGGAAUUUGAUGAUGCAUCUGGGAGUGAGAGUGUGGUUGUUGUUGGAGGUGGUGGUGGUCUUGGAGGGAGAGUUGGGAGGAGGAGGCUGAGGAGUUCAACAAGGAGUUCAUUUCCUGCAUUUCUCUCAACAAGGAGUUCAUUUCCUGCAUUUCUCUGCUACAAGGCUGCAUAUAUAUAUAUAUAUAUAUAUAUAUAAACACGCACACACACACACACACAAUCAAUAUAUAUAGAUAUACUAUAUAGACAGAUGACUAGAGAUGAUUAGGUGGAGAUUAAUCAAAUUUGGGGAGGAUUAAUUAAUUAGAUUUGGGGGGUUUAGAGUGGAAUUAUUGGAGGAGGAGGGAAAGGCGAAAGAGUUUGGGAAUGGCGGUUUUUGGUGAAGGGAGGGGGUGAGAGAGAUUAUAAAUAGGGAAAAAUGGCCGAGUGUGUGUGCGUUUUGCGUGGAUGGGGCCCAUUCUCACCCGUCAAACGCGUCUAGCAUACUCUUUUGGUCAGACACUAGAGUAGAGAUACCUGAGAGUACCAAAUCCACACUAGUACUGUCCUGUAUGCGUUUUGGCUAAUGGCAGUGUGUUCGUCACAUUUUACUUGAAUUUGAAUUGAAAAAUAUUAAGAGCAUUCUCUUAAAAACGGGUUUAAGUCAAGCAUUGUGUUCGUCUUUUUCACUUGAAUUUGAACUAAUAAAUGUUAAGUAUAAUCUUUUAAUAGUGGGACUCUCUAUGUACCCUCUGUUAUCUCACAGUUUAACUUAAAUUGUCGUGCCAACAUUAUAAAACAUUAUGUAACAUCCCACAUCGCCUAGGGGAAUGAUCUUUAAAUGUAUAUUUUCAUCCCUACCUAGCACGAGGCCUUUUGGGAGCUUACUGACUUCGGGUUCUGUAGGAACUUCGAAGUUAAGCGAAAAGGAGGUCAGAGCACUCCCAGGAUGGGUGACCCAUUGGGAAGUUGCUCGUGAGUUCUCAAAAACAAAACCGUGUGGGAAUGGUAAGCCCAAAGCGGACAAUAUCGUGGUGCUACGGUGGUGGAACGGGCCCGGGAUGUAACAAAUGGUAUCAGAGCCAAUCCCUGACCAGAAGUGUGCCGACGAGGACGUCAGGCCCCUAAGGGGGGUGGAUUGUAACAUCCCACAUCGCCCAGGGGAGUGAUCCUUAAAUGUAUAUUUCCAUCCCUACCUAGCACGAGGCAUUUUGGGAGCUCAUUGGCUUCGGGUUCCGUAGGAACUUCGAAGUUAAGCGAGAAGGAGGCCAGAGCACUCCCAGGAUGGGUGACCCACUGGGAAGUUGCUAGUGAGUUUCCAAAAACAAAACUGUGAAUGAAUGGUAAGCCCAAAGCGGACAAUAUUGUGCUACGGUUGCGGAACGGGCCCGGGAUGUGGUGGACCUGGACGGGGAUGUGACACAUUGUAUCAAAAACAUGAUGUGUUAAAGAGUCCAUGGAGAAUCCCAUUUUUCAAUAAAUGGUUACCAUGGAAAACAGCCGAAUUGAUUAGUUAUGUGACCAAUACGCAAUGUGUUUAGAAGUUCAUGCGUUAUAGAACUUGCCACUAAAAACUAGCUUAAAUUGGCUUGUUAGUGAAGGGUGCUUAAAAACUCCCGUUUGGUAGGCUGAAUGUGGUUGAGUCUUAGGGAUAGAAUUGGAUUGAAAUAGACUUGUAAGACAUGACUUAUAACCCAUGUUUAAUGAUUAGAUAACCCACUUUAUUAUAAAUCCAUAACCCAUCAUGUCUAAGUCUUAUUCAUUUCACAUUUUGACACAUCAAGUAAGAAACUUGACUCAGGUCCAUUUUUACUGAUCACAAUCUAUCCCAACCAAGAUCUAAAAUAUAUAUGAUAUCGGAAAUAUCGGUAGUCUAAAAACACGGAAAUUUCGAUGAAAUAUUGAGAUAUUAUCGAUAUCGAUAAAAAUUGAAUAAAAACCACAGAAAUUGUAAGAAAAACUUGAAAAUUUUUAUUGAAACUUUGCAAGAUGUUUAUUUAGUCAAUUAUCUAUUAGUUUAUCACAAAAAAUUGGAAGGAAAUGCAUUGCAUAAUGGAUUUAACUAAUUUAAGUUGAUUAUAUAGUGAGCUGUCAAACAUUGUAAGUAUAUAAAAUAUGUAGUAAUUAAUGAAAGAAAUUUAAACACACCAUAAUCAUUUAUAUAUAAUGAAUUAGUACAAUAUUUUACAUUUUAUACAUUGCAUGGUAAGAUACAUGAGUGACUUAGUAUCAUGUAGAAUUCCUAUCAAGGUCUAAAAUAUCGAUGAUAUCGGAAAUAUCGGUAGUCCAAAAACACGAAAAUUUCGAUAAAAAUAUCAGGAUAAUAUCGAUAUUUUAGACCUUGAUCCCAACUAGCCCAUCAGACAAGCCACUCCAAGACAUGUUGUUUUUCAUGGACAAUUGAAUCCUAACUCAAUGUAUUUAACGUUGGGUAAAAGAAUCGUUCAAAACAAGCAAAUCGAACCAAGUUGAUGGUUCGAUUCGGUUUUCUCAAUGACUACUAGAAUGACCAUAUGAAGUCCACUUUGCUUCUCUUAAUUUCUUACAAGGGAAAAUUAAUUAAACCAAACUGAAGCCAAUCAGUAAAUGAAUUGAUUUGUUUCCGUUAAUGUCUUCUACACUACUAGUUUAGGGCCUAAACCGAACCAAAUUGAACUCUUGAAAACAUUUUUCCAAUUACGAUAUGGACUCUAAAACAAGUAAAACCAAAUCGCGUCCAUCCUCAAUUGUAACUUGAAUCUAAUAUUGUGCGUGUUAAUAUAAUUUUUUUUUAAAUAAUUUUCAUAAUGUACAUAACUCAAUUGUGCUAGUUACUAUCAGAUCUAAAUUCUCCUCCUAUUUGAAUGUUCAAGAUUAAGCAACGACAUCAUUUUGUUUUAUCUUCUAAGAAAUAAAAAGAGAACGAAAAAAAAAGGAGAGGAGGGAAAAAUAGAGGGGUGAGAAUCCAACUCCUUUAGUUCCACAAAUUUUGUAACUUGAAUCUAAUAUUGUGCGUGUUAUUGUAAUUUUUGUUUUAAUAAUUUUCAUAAUGUACAUAACUCAAUUGUGCUAGUUACUCUCAGAUCUGAAUUUUCCUCCUAUUUGAACGCUUAAGAUUAAGCUACGAUAUUAUUUUGUUUUAUCUUCUAAGAAAUAAAAAGAGAAGGGAAAGAAAUGAGAGGAGAGAAAAUUUGAGGGGUGAGAAUCCCACACGUUUGUUUCUCUCAUUCAUCCAACCCAUCUCUAUCGCAACGUUUUUCUCUUAGUUCGGCAACUUCGUUGCGUGGUGGGUUCGUAAGUAGGAAUUAACCAUUUUUCUUUGGGCUUGGCAUUCACAUCAAAGUUCAACAUGUUCAAUCAUAUAUAGUCUUUUCUUCUUAAGAAAAAUGAAUUUUUAACUCAUAGCCUCGCCUUUUAACUUCAAUUUAAAAAACUCGUAUUUGCAUCCGUUUAGUCUUCGUCUAGACGCUUAGGCGCUAGAUCUCAACCCAUCGUCUGACUGGUACCUUUUAGAACAUAGAUAAUUCACCAUAUGAUUUGUUCAAGAUAUACUCGCAUUUUUUUAUACAAGAGCAUCAAUGUGCAAAGAUUAGAAAAUGGGUACAUACAUUUUUAAUUAGAUUUAUGGAAUUUCAACCACUAAAAUGCUCAAGCUUUGUUUGCUAAAAGCAAGACCAGUGGGAUUAUGAUCUUGUUAUGUUAAAAUUCAGCAGCGUUGUGAUUGUUGUGGCCUCUCAUUUAGGAUGCAAUCUUAGUUGUAAUUCCAAUUUCCAAACCAUAUUCAUUGCAUCCAAAUAUCGAAUAUUAUUAGGUUAAGAAAUUCAUUUUCUCAUUCAUUUAAUUAAUUUGUUAGUUUGUUAACAAUGGAUAGUGAUUUUCGCACUUUAUUUUUUUUGCUCCCGCAUGCAGUAAGUAGUUCUUAUGGCAUCGGACCAAAGUCUUGCAAAUUGAUAUUUUACAACACUUCUAUCAAUUAAAUGCUUUUAUCCGUAGAAUAAAGCAACUUGGUAUACCUAUUUUUUUUAUAUUCAUACUUCAUGUUUAUGAAAUUUAUUUCUUUGCUACAACUAAUAAAAAUUCUUAAUUUUGAAAUGAUCGAGUCACAAAUGGAAAUGAUCAUCAUUGACUGAUUCAUAUUUUACGUACAAACCCAUAUACUCUUUUAGACAGUUCAUGCACAAGGAUCUCAAUAAACCAUAUCCUGCUCCUAAUUAAUUGAUUAAUUAAACAAGUAUAAAAUAGUAUAUUCAUUAGUUUCAAGGCGAUGGUUUGAGCUGUGAAGAAUGAAUACAUAAUUUUUAAUCAAACCGAAAUCUGACUCAUACAACCACAAUAAUAAUUAAGUUUUAUUCCACUCAGUGGGGUUGGUUGUAUGAAUUAUAGAAUGUCACUGCGCUUGAUUUUGUGUCAAGUCUUUCGUUGCUGAUGUGAAAAUUAACUUGACACACAAAUUAAACCCUAUUAAUGACAAUUGUAGUAAUGAUGCAAGUAGGGAUCGUUCUAAACCGGGGAUUAACUAGGGAUGCUAAUCAACACAAAUAAGACUCAAAAACACUAAACUAGACUCUAUAGACUCAAAACUAACUCAAAACACUCAAAACAGCAAGAAACAAUAAAAAAAAACUCAAUUCUAGACCUAAUAAGUGACUUGGACGAAAAUAGAACUUAAAAGACUCAAAAGACCAAAAGAAAACAGGUUUUGACUCUAAAAACAAGACUUAAUGAAUGGGGAUUUUGUUUUGACGAAAUUGAAAGUUAAAACAUAAACUUUGAAAACAAACUUAACAAAAACGAUUUUGGAUGAAAAA